rnacentral:lncRNA from 1 species
AUGGUAACUCAAAGCCAACACUCUCAUGCAUUUUGCUUCAAGAUCUGUGCUUACCACCGAACUUACAUUCUCCGCAACAUUUUGCCACUCAUCCAAUGUUUUACUGAUUUUGGAGAGAAGUCCAGCAAUCACAGUAAUUGCUAGAGGUAACCCUCCACAUUUUAAUGUCAAUUUGUUUCCCAAUAUUUUCAAAUUCAGGAGAAUAAGAACCUUCUUUUUCAAAGAUCUUUUGUGUAGUAAAUUCCAACUUUCGUCAAAAUUCAUGAGGCGCAUAUGAUGAGGAGGCUUACCUGAACUAGCAUAUUCAGCCACUUCCACAUUCCGAGUAGUCAGGAGUAUUCUGCUUCCAUUAUUACAGUCUGGGAAACAUUGUUUUAUAUCAUCCCAAGCUUCUGUAGUCCAUAUGUCAUCAAUGACUACCAAGUAUCUCCUGCCUUUCAGAUUCUUUUGCAGUCGGUCCGCUAGCUGAUCAUCAGGUUCAUUACUUAUCGAAGAAAGAAGGCCUAGGAUUACAUUUCUCACACAAUACUCUUGUGAAACAGUUGCUUUUGCACGAAUAUCAAAUCGAGACAUAAUGUAAGGAUCACUAUAGAGUUUUGUAGCCAAAGUUGUUUUCCCGAUACCUCCCAUCCCUACGAUUGAGACAACUUCUAGUUCCCUUCCUCCUCUAGCAAGUUGAUCCAGCAUCAUCUCAAAUUCAUUUUCACGGCCAACCAUUAUAUUCUCGGGCUGCUCAACAUCAUGUUCAGGUAAACUGACAAGUGAGCUAGUUUGUGGUUUUAGAUCUUUCAUGCUGUCCGAUGCUGCCAUCCACUGUUUCACGGUGGAAUCAAUGCAUUCUAGUGCUUGUUCCAAGACGAAAAAAAUCUCCCACAUAGCCCUGCUUCUUUCCUCCAAAUUCUGUGCUAAAAAAACAUUUCUUGAUUCCGAGUCAACCAUAUCUUCUGUUGUGUAUGCUACCUCUACGAUUUCAACUUCCAAGAUUGUUAACUCCUCAUGAUCGCCCGUUAUAUUGCAGGAAUUCUCCAGAAUAGUUCUUAAAGAUUCGAGCUUUUCAUAAAACGGUUGCAAAUCACAUCCAGUAAGUUCCAUUGAUUGAUGUAUGGUUCUCAUAAGGGAAGUAACAGCAGCAUAAGCCAUAUAUCCAAAAAAUAGAAAUAUCUCUCAGUAUGAAAAUGGACAAAUUGCCACAAGUCAUGUAAUUUUUCAGUUUUUAAGAAAACAGAAAAUGCAAACUUCUUUCUUUUACUAGGCUAUUUCCAUCACAUUUCCAGCUAGGUCCACCAACCUUAUCAUCAUGUAGACAAAAGCAGAGACCAAAGUUUAAAAAAAGAAAAAGAAAAAAAGACAGGAUUCUAACUGGAAAAAGUUGAAAAAAUUGUGACCAUUCAUUAUUAUACCUUACACUUAUCUAUUCAUGAAUAUAAGUAGGGAAAAGGGCCUCAUUUACCCUGAACUUUAUGAUUUGGAGCUGAUAUACCCUUCGUUUAAAAAAUGGCCCAUAUAUGCCCCUGCCGUUAUAGAAAUGGCUCAUAUAUGCCCUUUUACUUAACAGACCAAUAUUUAAUAAAUUAAAAAUUCAUUUUUUUAUGCUUUAAUUUGAGAAAAUGCCACGUGGCUCUUAAAAUACCCCACCCAAUAACUUUUCAGCAACCCGACCCAAUGGAAACAAGAAAACCCCAUCCACUUAAAUAAACCUAGCCCAUUUCAUUCUAUGGUCUCCACUCUCCACGCUUGACAUGAAAAAAAAUCAAAAACUUGUUAGGGUUUCAGUGAGCUCUAAACUGGUGUCAAUCAAUCUCAAUAAUGUUCAAAAUCUUAGGUAAGUUUCGAUUAUUUUCUUCCCUUACUUUUAAGGAUCUUUGGUGUUAAAAAUAUAGGAUAAUAUGUGAGAAAAGUGUAACUGAGUUUACCUAUGUGCUUUUUUCCCUUGACAUUCUGUCCAUGGAAGGUUUAUUUUCUUACUUUAAUACAUGAGUUUAUCUCUUUGUAUGCAGAGAUGGAAUCUUUGUUGGUCCCCAAAUAGUUAUUGUCUCUUUAGUAUUUUAAAAUUCAUUUUUCAAUUGGUUGGUGUUAAAUGCUAAGGUGGUCCCUUAUGUCUAAUUUAUUUGCUUGUUGCAGGUGUCAUUUUGAAGGAUGAUUAAAGAAGUGGAUAUUGUUUUCAACUAUGGGGGCAAUAGGGUAAUUUCCCCAAAGCUGGGAUACAAUAUAAAAUUUCAGCACACCUGGUAUUAUAAUACUUGUUUAGUUUGUUAUGAUGAUUUGUGUGAAGCUUUUACUUCCAAAUUUGGAUUUAAGGAAGUUCAACAAUUGUUGGUCACUGGUCCAUCUGGUACUUAUUAUGUAAUUGAAGAUAAUGAUGGAAUUAAGACUCUUCAAUACUUAUUUUCAGAAGAUUUCAAGGUAAUAGAUUUUUAUGUUGUAGAUGCUCAUGAAUUGAGAGUUUCUGCCACAAAUAUCAUAUAUCAUACUGAAUCAUAUUUUGUGGAUGUUGAAGCUGCUACUGAUUGUGAUUAUAGUGAUGUGGAGGAUGAUACUCUUUAUGAAAUGGGCAACAGUUGUGAAAUUGUUGAAUAUAAUGUUGAAGUGCUUCAACGUUAUGAACAUGAAAAAGAGAGAGUUGUGAGUGAUGGACUUGAAAAGUUUAAGGAAUUAGAAAUGGGUAUGACCUUUAAGACUAUUGAAGAACCUAGGCAGGUUGUUAGCUUUUAUGCUAUGGCUAACAAAAGAAGUUGAAAACAAAAAAAAGUGAUACAAAAAGAAUUAGGUAUGAGUGUUAUGAUGGUUGUCCCUUUUACUCUUCUCAUAUCUAAGGAUGGAAAAUCAGCAACAUUUAAGGUUAAAACAUUGAUGCCUAAGCAUACUUGUGGUGAUUCUUUUGUUAAUCCAUUGGAAACUUAUCAUACCUUGGCUGUUUAUUUUAAGGAUGAAGUUCUAAACAAUCCAAAAUACCCUAUCAAAGACAUGAGAGGAAUUCUUGAAAAAAAAUUCAAGUUGAAUGUCUUAAGAUCCAAACUAAAAAGAGCCAAAACAAUGGCUCUUGAUAAGUUGGAAGGCAGUUUCAAAGAUGACUACAAUAGGCUUGAAGCUUAUGGUCAAGAACUUAGACAAUCAAAACCAGGAUCUGAUGUGGUAAUUAAUAUCUCUAAAGAUGCACUUGAACAAGGCAUAAGAAGGUUUUUGAGAAUGUACAUUUGCUUCAAGGCUUUGAAGGAUGGAUGGAAAAGUUUGAGACCUAUAAUUGGUUUAGAUGGAACAUUUCUCAAAGGAAAAUGCAAGGGGCAACUAUUAGUAGUUGUUGGGCAAGACUCAAUGAAUCAUUUUUACCCAAUAGCUUGGGCAGUGGUGGAAAAGGAAAACACAGGAACAUGGACAUGGUUUAUUCAGUUGUUGAGGAUUUCGUUGGAGUUGAAAAAUGGUGAAAUUGUGACAUUUAUGUCUGAUAUGCAAAAGGUAGCUUUAAAUUUAUUUUUUUCUUAUUGCCUUUUCUUUAUCUUUUUUCUUACUGUCAUUUUUUUCUUUUCGAUUUUUAGGGCCUGUUCGAUGUUGUAGCUAAUGUUGUUCCAGAAGCACACCAUAGGCUUUGUGUGAGGCAUAUAGAAUCUAACUGGUGCAAGAAAUGGCGGAGUGGUGAAGAGAAAAAAUUGAUGUGGUGGUGUGCAUGGAGUACCUAUGAAGAAGAAUUCAAAGACACUUUGAAGGUGUUAGGAAAGGUGGAUGAAGAUUCAGCUAGUGAUCUUCUUCAUUUUCCUGUAAUUAAAUGGUGUAGGGCAUAUUUUGAUACUCAAUGUAAGAAUCUAAUGGUAGACAAUAACUUCACCGAGUCUUUUAACAGUUGGAUACUUGAAGCUAGAAAAAACCAAUCAUUAAAAUGUUGGAGGAAAUUAGAGUGAAGGUGAUGAAUAUGUUGGUGAAAAAUGAAAAAAUGGGCAGAAAAUGGCAAAAUGAUAUCAGUCCAACGGUUAUGAAAUUGUACAAUGACUAUCGAUUAAUGGCUACCAAUGGUACAGUUGAGUUCAAUGGAGAUUAUGGUUAUGAAGUGAAAGAUGGAGACACGGACACACAUACAGUGAAUUUGGAGUUGAAGAAAUGCAUUUGUAGAUUAUGGGACUUGGGUGGAAUACCGUGUCACCAUACCAUCAAGGCAAUUUUGCAUAAAAAAACUGAACCAUUGGAAGAGGUUCAUUACUGCUAUAAAAAGAGGCUUAUUUGUUAACAUACAAGCACAAGUUGCAACCAGUUAGGGGUUCUCAAUUCUGGAAAAUCGACCAUGCUCAAGCAAUGGAACCUCCGAAAAUGGUAAAACUUGUUGGCAGACCCAAGAUGAAAAGAAAUAAAGAAACUGAUGAGGCAAGUUUGAGAAAGGGGGCAUGGAAGCAGUCAAGAAAAGGAACUCUAAUGAGAUGCAACAAAUGUGGUGAUUUCAAUCACAAUGCUAAGGGAUGUUAUAAGGUAAUCUCUCUUAAUAUUUUCUUUUAGUUAAAAGGUGUUCAUUUUUGUCAAUCACAACAAUUUUUUUGGGUUGAAGGACCAUGAAGACGGUGAAAGUUAGCAUGAAAGAAAUAAGAAAGCAAGCAAUCAAAAGUCGAGGAGUUGAGCAAGAAAAAACUCUAUUGUAGAGUAUGAGACAGAAGCUUCACCCCAACAAUUUCAGACAAAACAGUCGACUGCCUAUGGUCCUAAGAUCGGGAAUGAUGAAGAUCCAGCAUUGCGACCAAUGGUAAUUUUUGAGACAGAAACAAGGAUGGAAAAGAGGUCUCGAAUAUUUGAAGGAAUAGGAAGCAGGAAGAUUGUUUUUUAAGGGGAUGCAAGAGGAAUCUCGACCCCUUCGGAUCUACCAUAUUCACCAAAGAAGACUACUUGAAAGGGCAAGAAAGCAGUCACAAUUGAUCAGUUACAAGCUGAAGUAAAGAAGAAAAGAGUGAAACAAAUGGCAAUGAAGGGCAAAUGGCCCGUGGAUACUAAUGAUGAUCUAGUUUAGAAGUCGUUGUGUGGUUGAUCAUUUUUUGACAUUAGGUGGUUAUUUUGGAUAGUAUUAUAUGAUGUAAAUCCAAACAAUUUCUUUUGUUGCUAACCAUAUAAUAGAUAUUUGUGGUUGGUUUAACCACCAGAAGGUUAAUCUUCUUUUGCUGGUAACUUGUGUUAAGAUAAUUUUAUAAAAAUUGAGAAUUAUAUUCUACUGCAUCUGGUGUAAUUAUUGUUGAUUGUAUUUUGUGUGAGAGAGUAAAUUUAUGUGCUUUGAUUGGUAGCGUUGUUUAAAUUACGACUAAAAUUAGCAUUGUUCACGAUCUUCUUUGAACUAGUAGAUAGCUCACAGAUGAUUCAACGUGGAAUGUCAAGGAGUCAUUGAUGAUUCUCUAUCAUUUUACCUCGAGCUUUUGAUUCUCUUUCAUUACUAAAUAAUACAAAAGUUGACAAAAUCACUACACAAGACCAAAUAAGGUGAAUCAAAAGUUGUCAUAAAUCAAUACAAUGAACCAAAAGUUAAUUACACAUAAGUCACAAAACUGCAAAUGAGAUGAAAAAGUUUAGUCGCAUAAUAUGGCCUUGGAAUCUAUCAUUUAAAUUCCCAGAAAAGAUAUGAUCCUACAAAGUACUACUAUAUUUCCAAAUUUUACAAACUUUUUGCCUCAGUGAGUGAAGAAAAGAACCCAACUAAGCAACUGAAUGUAAAAUAACUUCAAACUUUUCUCUCGAAUUUUAAGAUUUCAUAAACGCAAUGACUCCGUCCACAGUUCGUUCGCGAACACUCUGAAUAUGUGGUGUGACGGCCAAUAAAACUUCAGCAGACUCUUGAUUUUCACUUGUAGCUGCAAGAUGUAUUAGCAUGUAAUUAUCACUGACAGUAUCCCCUGCCUUUACCACACAACGAAAGAAUGAACUGCCGCAACUGCUAGCAGAGGACACAUAUUAUCAUCUCCUAUUUGAGCAUCAAAAUUAGCAUGGUGUUUUAGCAAAACCGUAAUAGCAUCUUCCUGGCUGCGGUCUACAACGCAUAUUAAUGGUGUUCCAACAUCAACAUCACUUCGCAAAUCAACGUCUACACCUAUCGGUAGAAACAAUUUAACCAAUUCAAUAUGCCCAUUUCCUGCAUCAUUAAAUGGACAAAAUAAAACACAUAAGAAUAUCACUUCAAGCAAAGAAUAUCAAGAACAAAUUUACCCUAUAACUCUAACACCAAAGGUCCUUAAAAGAAAAGGGAAGAAAGUAAUCGAAACUUACAUAAGAUUUUGAACAAUAUUGAGACUGAUUGACGCCAAUUUAGAGCUCACCGAAACCUACCAACAUUUUGAUUUUUUUUCUUGUUGAGCGUGGAGAGUGGAGACCAUAGAAUUAAAUGGGUUAAAGUUUAUUUAAGUGGGUGGGGUUUUCUUGUUUUCAAUUGGGUCGGGUUGGUGAAAAGUUAUUGGGUGGGGUAUUUUAAGAGCGAUGUGGCAUUUUCUCAAAUUAAAGCAUAAAAAAAUGAAAUUUAAUUUAUUAAAUAUUGGUCUGUUAAAUAAAAGGGCAUAUAUGGGCCAUUUCUAUAACGGCAGGGACAUAUAUGAGCCAUUUUUUAAACGGAGGGUAUAUCAGCUCCAAAUCAUAAAGUUGAGGGGUAAAUCAGGCCCUUUUCCCAUAUAAGUAUGUUUCUUACAUACAAGAGAUUGAUGAUUUUAAUUCCAUUGAAAGCUACUUAGUAGAAUUUUCCAAAUCAAAGAGAGAGAAAUAUUAAGAUCCAAGUAGGAAUUUCUCUAUUCCUAGUUCGAUUCAAUUAACCAAGCAUAAAUAUCUCUUAAUAUACAAGAGAAGUUUAGACUCUAAAAGUCAAAUCAACAAAAUAUUGAUGGGCUAACACAUGAAAAACUACUGAGAAAAUCGCCUAAUUCCUGUAAAUUGUCCCUUAAAUACCCAAAAUGGACUCUAAAAAUUGUUAGAAUGUACGUAUUGCUCCCCCAACUCCCUACUGAGGGUUUUGUAAAGAUUUCGAUUAGAAAUCGUCCAUAAGUCAUAUCACUAAUAUAUUAAUGGUUAACACACACGACAAACUGAGAAAAUUAUCUAAUUUCUUUAAAUUGGCCCCUAAAUGCCUAAAAUGGACUCUAAAAGUUGUGAGACUGUACAUACUGCUCCCCCGACUCCCUACAGAGGGUUUCGUAAAUGUGUAGCAAAGAAAUCGUCUGAAAGUCAUAUCACUGAAAUAUUAAUGGGCUAACACAUACAAAACACUGAGAAAGUCGCCUAAUUCCUGUAAAUUGGAAUUCUAAAAUUGUGAGACUAUACGUAUUGCUCCAUUAACUCUCUAUGGAGGGUUCCGUAAAGAUUUCACAAAGAAAUUAUUCGAAAGACUUAUCACCAAAAUAUUCAUGGGCUAAUACAGACGAAUUGAGAAGAUCACCUAUUUCCUAUAAAUUAGCCGUGGGAUACCUAAAAUGGACUCUAAAAAUUGUGAGACUAACUCCCUACGAAGGGUUCCAUAUAAGUUUCGCAAAAGAAAUCAUUCAGAAAUCAUAUCACCAAAAUAUUUAUGGAUUAACACACACGAAAAAUUGAAAAAAUCGCCUAAUUCUUUUAAAUUGGCCCCUUAAUCCCUUUACGAGAUUAAUUAGAGAUGCGCGAGCGCGCGCACACACACACAUACACACACAUAUAUAUAUAUAAAGAAGAGAAGCUAGUUGUAGGGUUUGAUUGCCAUAAAAUACUUAGACAAUGUGGGUGACGCACAUUGUGAAUCUCAUGAAUUGACUCGUGGAUCAUUGUGAUAUUGGCCCAUGAAACUUAGUCUUAGGGAAAGAUUGUUGGGUGUGAGAUUGAAUUUCCACAUUUGAGAAGCUAUAUAUAAGGUGUAGGAUCUCUUAAGGGAAAAUUUCAUGUAUGGAAAACGUAUUUAAUGAAAUAACGCUCUAUAGGUAUAGUUUAGUAAUUACAUUCAAUGGGUAGUUUAGUUUGCUAUGAAGCAUUAAUUUUGUAUAUAAUGUUUUUUUUAAAAAUAAUUUAUACAAUAUUUUUUUUAAUAAAUGGAUACAUGAGCGCUAAAUACAGUAACAAAAAAUUUACAUAAUCCCAUGAUUCAAGCUAAUCGUUCAAAAUCAAAUAUUUUUCCAAAAAAGAGUUCUAUAGCAAUAGAAACACCAUAACAGCUGGUUUCCUCAAACGACUGAAGCAUACGAUUAAUCAAUAUUCUUGUAUAUUCAACACCAGGUAAGCGUUUCUUUCAAGGAAACUUCAUGUUUUGAACGGCAAGAAAGUAUACAAUUGAUUUGUAUAGUAUAUAAUUGAAAUUUUGGAAAACGGAUUAUUUUUGUUUUGUUCAUUCUAAUGGUUCGCAAUAAUUUAAUUUUGUUUAUACAAUAUUAGAUAAAUUUUAUAUUAACAAUUCAAUUCUAAUUUUUUGUUCAAAAAAUUGAAUGACACAAUUUGUAUAUAUGAAGUGUAUAUGAUUCGACAACAAUGGUGUGCUUUAAUUUGCUAAUUUUUGUUGUUGUUGUUGUUGUAAUUUUACUGUAUAAAUAAGUUAUACGAUUUGUAUAUUGUUUAAUUGGUAAUAUUGUAUAUAUGUAAGUAAUUGUAUACAAUUAUUAUACCAUAAAUAAGUGUAAGUAGUUGUAUAAAAUUACUAUGACAAUUAUAUAUAUGAAUUGUAUAUGAUUCAAUAAAAAAGGUGUGCUUUAAUUUGAUAAUUUUUGGUGUAACCUAAUGUUGACACCCAUUUUUGGACCUCCACAAUAUAUAUUAAUUCUCGAGCUUCUUAGAUUUCAAAUGAUUUGGAGUUAUUAGUUUAUAAAAUUUAAAUAUUUUUUAAAAAGAUUUUUGAAGCGAUUUAGUCGGCUUUAUAAUAUUUUAGAUAAUAGAUGGAUUUUACAUAAUUACUUAUAUAAUCAACGUGUAUUAUUAGCAUUUGGAAAUCAUCUUGAAAUAUUUUGCAUUUUUUAAAAUUAACUAUGUUAUUAAUUUAGUUUAGUAUAAAUUAAAGUUAUGAUUCUGAGUUAUUUGAAUUAGUUAGUUUAUAAUUAAAUUGUUUAUUUUAUUUUUGUUAAGAUUAAGAAGCUUGUUAAUUAAUUAAUAACAAUUCAUCUUAUUUAGACUUUGGCCGAAUUCACCAAUUAAUCCCAAUUUGGCUAAGUUUUAACUCUGAAUGGUUAUAAUCGUAAUCCAUUUAGCCCUUCUUGAUAUUGCAAUUUUAACCAUUCUCUAACCUUACCUCUAGCUUAUUUAAAUAAUCACCAAGGGGCUUUUAUCCUUGAUUACAUUUUCAGCAACACCCAAGCCCAUUUUUCCAUCAGCGUACAAUUAUUUCCAGCCAAUAAACUCCAGCAGUCCAUACCCACCCUCCAAUUCCCAUUACAGCAUACAACAAUUCCCAGUGAUUCAAACAUACACGUAGAGCAGCACCAACCGACCCCAUCCCCUUUAUUUCGCUCAUCUCCUCGUCCGUUUCAAAGUAAUAUUCUGGUGUUUGGAAGCAUCUGUUCUGUGAUUGUUCGUUGUUAUUUUUCAUAGGAUUGAUGAUGUUUUUAACGUAUUAAAUGUACACUUAAUUGUUUCCAUCAGUUAGUCCUAAUAUGGGGUCAAGUUCCGGAGAGCCAUUAAAGUUUUAUUUUGUUGUAUUUCUUUUCUUGAGCCUGCUCCUCGAACAUCGUCGAAUCUAUGUUCUUUUCGCUUUAGCAUCUUGAAUAUUGAAAGUUCCAUUCACUUUAUUACUGCUAAUGUUCUCUGUUCUUCCUUUGAGAUGAGGAAAAAUCUUCCGUACAAAUUGUAUGUUGUUGUAGCUGCUGUUCGGUAGGCAUAAGUGGUUAUUUUCUUCUUGAUUAAAUUUCAUGGCCGUCCUAUUUUGCAUUGCGAAUGUGUAACUGUUUAUUUGGUUUUUAUUCCUCCUCAUUUUCAGCAUAUUUCCAUAAUUUUGGUUGAGUGUAUUGCUUAUUCUAACUUGAAGCUAAAUGUUUAUAAUAAUUUCGUUGGUUGUCUGCUUAAAUGUGGGCUGAAUAUCAAUACUAUUCUUUCUAAAUGUUAAGUUAUACUCGUUCUUUUUGGUUUUUUUUCUUCCGAGGAUUUGCUUUCGACUAUAGUUCUGUUUCUUUUGUGCGUGUGUUUGGAGGUCGGCAUUUGGUUUUAUGCCAGCCUAGUUUUACAUAUCUCUUUUCACUUUCAUGGAAACCUUUGAUGUUAUAGCUCUACUUGUCGGAUUAGGUUUAAAAAAAUGAAAUGCAUCUUUGUUCUUCUCAAAUUUGUUCCAUGUUUUCUUGGUUUUUUAAAAAAAAUGGUAUAGCUGAUUAAAAUAGCAUUAGUUUAGCUCGAGAUUUCCUUAAUACCGUGUUGCUAUUUAUUCUAUCUCGCAUCUUAUAACUCGAUAUUAUUUGUCUUGGGUUCUUUGUGGCUUUUAUUUCGAAAGUUUUGCCUUGCUAUCGUGUCAAUUUUCGUGCUUGUUGUUUGUAGCUGCUUGAGAAAAUAUGAAUGACCACUUUAUAAAAAAAAAAAAAAAAGGAGUUAGAAUCAACAAUGGGUUGCUGUUUGAAUAAUUGACCUUCAGCUUAUUUUGCUCAAAUGUUAAGUCACGUAUGUUCCCAAACACGGUUCGUAUACAAUGGUACACGUGAUGUGUAUACACAGAUUUCUUGAAGGAAAAUGGGGGGCAAAAGCCCAAGGAAAUUUCAGCAAGUCCAAGAUUUGGGCCUAAUUUGAUAUUCCUCUCCUUGCUCUUAUUUAUUUUGUUAUAUUUGACUAACGUUUUGAUUAUCUUAUGAUUUAAUCUAAUUAAAUUUUCCAAGAAUGGUCAUUUCAUUUUAUUUUUCGAAUUAAAGUAUAUAUAUUUUAUUACUUAGUUUUUAUUUUAAUAUUUGUCUUGUUGACAUUUUAUGAACUAUUUCCCUUUAGAAAAUUCUCCUUUAGUUCAUUCCCCCUUAAGAUAAAUAAAAUGAUAAAAAUAAUAGUAAUAAAUAAAUGAGUUCAUUUACUUAGCUAAAUUUUUUUUUAAAUAAGUUAAAAUAAAUGAGUUCUUUUACUUAGUUAAAAUUUCAAAAAUUAGUCAAAGUCGUUAUGAGCUCUUUUAUACUUAGUUAAAAUUUCAAAAGUUAGUCAAAGUCAUUUUUAGUCAAAUCGUCGGUCAACCGCAAGUUAGCGGACAUUUUGAGGGCCUAACACCUUCUCGGAAUGUACAUUGAACUCGAACCCUUUUUCAAUUGAUUUUAUCUGUUUGAGUAUUUUGAAAAUCUUAAGUUUUUUCUUGAGUUUUACUAAAAAAAUUAAGUGGCGACUCUAUUCUUUUGGAAAUCGAUUUCUCUUAAACUACAAGUUUAAUCGAUUUUUUCGAAAUCCUAGUCAUUUUUCUUUUAUAUAUAUUUUCGAGUAAAACACCUAACUGUAUAUAUAAUAAUGUAAGGUUUGUAUAUUGUUUAAUUCAUACUAUUGUAUAUAACUUACAAAAUAUACAAAUAUAUAUAUAUAAUACAAUUAUGAUUUAAGCAAAAAAUAUACAUAUACUUCAAGCAAUUUUGUAUAUAACUAACAAAAUAUACAAAUAUCUAAAUACAAUUGUGAUUUAAGCAGAAAAUAUACAUAUAUUUCAAACAAUUUUGUAUAUAACUAACAAAAUAUACAAAUAUCUACAUACAAUUGUGUUUUAAGCAAAUAUUUGAUGUUCUUGAUCUAAUGAAGGAGACACAACCUCCUCAGAAUCACUAUCUUUGGCUUUCCUCGUACUUCCUCCUUCAACAACUUUAAUGUCGCUUGCCUUAACAUUGUUGAUGACUUCUGGGAGUGCAAUUGGGUCAUUUUUUUUCUUGGAUCUCAAUUCUUCAAUAGAUUUUUCCUGUAGAAUUUGUUUAGAUUUUUCCAUAGACCCUGCAUUGACUCCAAAAUCUUGAGUUAAACCGAGUGAAAAUGAAGGUUGAUUAUUAAAAACUUUGACAUGCAAUGACGUACCUCUCGCAAUCCUCUUAGAUGGAGUCGAAUCAUCCAUUUUAUUUUUUGUAAAAAUGAUAUAUAAUAAGUAAUGAGGGAAUUUUGAGAAAAAAUUAUCCAAACACUAACAUGCACAAUACAUAUACAAUUGAAAAAUGAAAAAGAAAAAAAGAAAAGAGGUUCACCUACGAUUUAUGCGGUUACCUGCAAAAAGUAAAACACGAUUGGAGGGAGAAAGUGAAAUUCGAAUUUCAAAUUGAUUUUAGGAGAAAAACAGGAAAUGAGGAGAGGAGAGGAGAGGAGAGGAGAGGAGAGAUAAAUUUAAUUUUGUAUAAAAUCAUAUACAAAGACCGAUGAAGGCUUUGUUGAUUCGGUAUACAAAGUGGUGGUGGGUCUCAUUAUUAAUGGCGAAAAAACUGAAAUUGUAUUUACUAACAGUAAAUAAAUUAAAUUAUACCCUCAAUGACUAAUAGCCUAGUAAUAUUUGCCAACUCACUUAAUUUUUCCAUAAUGUGUGAGACUUUUUGAAAGAAAAAAAAAUUGUGCUAACUUGGUUAAAGUGAACAAUUAUCAUACUCUAUUUAGAAUAUCUUUGGGCUAAUUUAUCCGAACAAAAACAAAUAAGUCCCCAAUCUAAGACCAUUAGCCGUUACUUGAAGACAAGACAUUCAUCAUUUGAACUAUUGAAUUAUGGACACAAGUCAAAGAAUCUUCCAACUAUUCAAGAAGUGUAAUUAAUACUUAAUAAAUAUAAUGUCAUCCUCAAUAACUUCAAAUAAUAUCCAAUAAUCAAUAUUAAAUUUUGAUAUUAAUAGAAAUAGUUAAUGAACCCCAAGUUGUAUAAUUUGAUUGUUGGGAUAAAAGAUAAAAGUCAAUCAAAAAUUUAAUUUUUUUAAGAAAUAAUCUUUUAAUUGUGAUUCAAUAAUGUAAUAACACAAGCAAUUACAAUACAUAUAAAUUUGCCAUGUCAGCAUAUGGUGUUCAUGAGUGCGUGUAUGACAAUAGUAAAAGUAUCUAUUUGGUCUUUUAGAUAAAUUUCAGUAUCUAAAUUACAAUUUUUGUCAAAUUUGAGGGAUUAUCUAGAUAUUUAGAUAAAAUUAUUUAUAUAUAAUUAUCUCUAAAUAGGCUCAUAAGCCAGUAAAUGAUACUUUAUAAAUAACUUCAGUUGUAAGUGUUUCUCUUACAAAUUCAAAUUAAUCCAAUGACAAAACCUUUUUAUGAUUUGACUGAAGAGGUUUCUGUGUUGCUGGUAUAUCAAGAUGAGGAAUUGGUUUCUAGUAAAUCAAAUGGUUGAUUUACUAGAGUUCAAUGGAUACAAAGGUGAUAUAUCUAGAACUAAUUUCUAUAUGACUUUCAUUAUAUAGAGAGAGAAUUAAUUGAUACGAUGUUUAUUUAGAACUUUUCCUUUCCUUGUUAUCAUAACAUUAUUUCUAUGCUUGUGUAUGUUGUGUUACAAGUUAAUAAAUGAAUUUGUAUGAUUAUAAGGAAUUAAAUUAGAUUCUUCAUUUUUGUUUUUGUUGUAACCAUGUCACUGACUCGAUUAGCUUUCUCCAUAAGGAUUGUGUAAUUUUUCAAAGAGGUUCAAUAAUUUUAUGUUAAAGUAUGUGUUGUUCUAAUUUUAUCGGAUAUUUUUCCAUAAAGGAGAUAGUUUAAGUUUAUGUUAAUAUUAAUUAUUUCACACUUGACUUUUUUGUACAAAAAAUAAAAAGGAAACUUAUUCUUUGUCAAUCGGGCCUAGAGUGACAUCGUGUUGGAGGAGAAAAUAAUUAGGACCCUCAUAAAUAAUUUUGAAAUCAUAGAUCUUUGAUUUUUACAAAUCUAUAUAUUGUUUUAGAAAGAAAACACAUUCACUUGGAUGAUUGAGGCACAAAAUAAGAGUAAGAGAUUGAAGAGAAGAGCGAGAUAAAGACAUGAUAAGAGAUGAUUUGGCUAUCAUUAUUGUCUGAGAUGACUUUUUUUUGUCUUUUAUUCAAUGUAGACAAACAAAUAAAUAGGGACAUGUGAUUUUCAUGAUUUUUUUCUUCUAUUUUUUUUUUUUGUCUUUUAUUAGAUGUAGACAAGAAAAGAAAUUUUUUUCAUGUGACUUUUCCUCAUUUAUUUUUGUUUCAUUUUCAAUUACUUUGUUAGUAUUUAAUAUCGAUUGUUCCUUAUUCAAGCUAUGUUAAAUAUUUUUAACAUAAUUUUUUUGGUAACUCCUUUCUAAUAAUUUGUUAAAUCUUCUAAACUCUCGUUACUUAUUUAUGAAAUAAAAUUACCUUAAAACUUUUUACAUAAAUUUAUCUUAAAACUUUUUAUCCUAUUAUAUCUUGCUUUAAUAGUAUUUAAUCUAUAUAUAUAUUCAGUGUUUAUUUGUUUUCAACAAGUCAAAGAAUAAAUUAGAAUAUAUUCUUUAGAAUUAUAUUCCUAUAGAAUCUUCUCUAUUAUAUAUUCCUACAGUUAUUUACUGUAAAGUAAUAUUAUAUAUUAGUAAGAUUGCACACACCGUUUACGAUAUAAGUUGAUUAAUAUGUGUUAUUUCAUAAAUUAAAGUAUAGCAACAUAAUAUGAAAUUUCAUAAUUGAAUUUGAAUGAGAAAUUAAAUAAACAUAUCCAAAUGAUAAUUUUGUGUAUAAUAUUUUUUUCAUGUUCUUCACUAACUUUAAAGUGUAUGGAUAUAUACAGUUACGACAGCUACAACUCCUGCAGCAAUGUCAAUGCUCUCCAAAGAAAAGAAAAAAAUUGACAUGAUGAUAAUCGAUGUCAAUUCAUCAGAUUUACAUUGUUUUGAACUCUUGACACAAGCUGUAACCUUAAAUAUAAUCUCUCUUGGUAAGUAUUUAUAAUUCUAUUUUUCACUUCUUGUUAUAAAUAUUGGGUAAAAUCAGUUGUUUCAAUUAAUACACCACAAAAAUAUAAUUAGCUAUAAAAUUUAUCGUUAAUCUAUUGUCAAGAGACGACAUCUAUCCAUUGGUAAUCUUGUUUUUAGUUAUAGUUAUAUGAUAAAUGAUUGUUUCGUAACAAAGUUGUUGUCGUAACAGAUAAAAUUCAGUAAAUAUAUGUGUGAAAUUAACUAUUCUCAUAAUGUAUGAUAUAUUUUUAUUUUUAUUUUUAACUUCUCAAUAUAAUUAUGUAGUUGUAUGUGAUGAACUCAAUAGACUCUUAGCCAAGAACGCUUUGGAAAAUGGAGCUUAUUUUGCUUGAAAAAGCCAUUCAACAAGGAAAUUGUGAAAUACUUAUGGCAACUUGUAUUGAGAGAAAAAAUACAAAGGGAGAAAUCGAAAAAAGGUUUAGAAGCAAAUGGACGAAAUCAUAUGAAUGCUGAUGAAAUUUAUGAUAGUAAUAUUGUAAGAGAUGAACAAUUUGGAGAGAAGAAUAUGCAUGUUGAUACUGAGGAACAUAACAAUAAUAUCCAUAAGGCUGAAAAUGAUGGCGUAUCAACUGGUAAAUACAAGUUGAAGAGGAAGAGAGGGAGAAAAGGUAUAAAACAGAUUAAUGAAGGAGAAAGUCGUAGCAGUACUGUUAUUAAUAAGACUGGUACACGUAAAUGACUUGUAUCAUGCAUUUUAAACAUACAUAAAUGACAAUGAAUUUGAGAUAAUAAUUAUAUCCAUAGUCCAACUCUCCUUUGAGUUUUUCUUUCUUUCAGAAAUGUCGUGAAAACAAUUGGAGACCUCGAAAAGAGAGAAAGAAUAUUCAUCACGGAUCCUCAAGUGAUUCUCAACAAAGAAGUAGUUGUAACACAUCAUUAGAAAGAAAAAAAAGGAGCUGCAAAAAACUUGGAAAAAUGCCUCAUCUUCAAACAAAUAUACCAAAUCAAAUACAAAGAGUCUCAGAGUUCCCACCAGUUAAUACCAACAACAUUUUUGCUAUUUCAACUCAGCAGCAACUCCAUCACCCACAACUUCAGGCUCAACCUCACUGCCUAAACCCAUCUUUGUCAGCCCAAAAUGAUGUUGGUGGUCAACUACAACAACACAGUCUGUUAUUUGGAAUGCGGGUCCAAUUAUUGGAAGCACUCAAAAUGGUUAUGGCUUGGAUCUCAAUCCUACCCAUGUAACAACAUAUUCAGGUAGCACAAUGAUAACUAAUACAAAUGUUGGAAAUGUGACACUUAAUGGAUUGGGAGCUACAAAUGCUAAUUUUCAGCAAGAUAUUGGUGAACAAAACAUGUUUGAUCCAAGUUCUUGCUCUCGUAAUAUUUGUAUCUUAACUUAUCGAAUGCAUUUAUGUAUCUUCCUGUAUUGCAAAAGCUAUAAUUGGGAAAAUAUUUUCAUCUUUUGAUGAGAAAUUUCUUAACCUUUACUCAUUUCUUCGUUUCCUUAUUAUGUAUUGAAUGUUUAAGAUUGUAGUAUAUUAUUACAUACUUAAAUCUUGUUUAUGAAAUUUUUUAAUGAUUAAUGUUUGGAUUAUAAAUCUCUUGUUUUGCUUAUGUAUUGAAUGAUUUUUAUUUUUAAUGAAGUGAGUCAAAUUGUUUCUUUAAUUAUUCUUGUGUUUUAAUAUUUCUAAAAGGAGCGACUAAUCCUAGGACUUGCUCAGUUACUUUGAUUUGAGCUCGAGAGAGUGAAAAAAGAAUAAGAAGAGAGAUUGGAAAAGAUUAAUUAACAAAAAUUGUGGUACUAAUUUGGGUAUUAAUAAACAAAUCCUUACUUGAUCGCAUAUGUGUUGUUCUGUGUGAAAUUUGCCUCUGACUUAUAGUUGACUAAAUUAUAUUGCAUAUGUUCGUGUACAUUUUCUCACUUGGAAGAGUGGAUUUGGAUGUUAUUAACCAUCACCAUCGUUUAGGUAGAAAAAGAAAAUAACUAAUAGUUUAAUGUUUUAAUACAUAAAUGAUCAACUAAUAUGAGACGGAAAGAGUAGCGUAAAUGUAAGAUUCACUUCUCACCAAGAAUCCUCCUUUCUUAUUAUUUUCCUUUUAGAGGUUAAUAAUUAUUAUGUAUCCCUAGAAUAAUUUAUUGAAAUAGUAGAUUUGAAAGAAAGCAAUUAUUCUCUUCUUCCUAUGCGGGACUUUUAGAACAAAACUAAUUUGACAAAAACCACAAUUUAUUGAUUUUUAGGUGGAAUUAUAUCAAUAAGGAACUAUGCUUAUAAUAUUAAUCUAAGAUCAUUAGGGGUCGUUUGGUAGAGUGUAUGAGGUAAAAUAAUGCAUGCAUUAGGUGUGUGUAUUAGUAAUACCUUGUUUGGUACACUUUUUCAUGUCAUGUAUAACUAAUGCAAGCAUUAGUUAUACACUAUAUUGUGUAUUACUAAUACCAAGAAAUCCUAGAUAUUAGUAAUACAUAGCGUUUUAAUACUUGCAUUAGAUUAUACAAUUACAAAACUACCCUCAAAGCCUUUUAAAAAAACAUCUUCAUUUUCCAUGGUACUGUGUUUAGAAACCUUUCAUCUUCUAUGUGGCUGCUAACACUACAAGAAAAGUGUGAAUUACAUGAGGAUUUUCCUGGGGAUUAGUAUGAAAAUCCGUAGGAAACUUAUUUUUCUGCAAAUUUUCAUACUAAUCCCCAGGGAAAUCCCCAUGUAAUUCACAUUUUUCUUGUAGUGUAAACCUUUAAAAAAAAACAUCUCCGUUAUUUAUAAAUUUGAUUGUUGUAAUACUUUUUUGUAUUUCAAUUGCACUAAAAAAUAGGAUCUGUGGCUGCUAAAGCAUAUGCCCAGACUCCUAAUAUAUAUAAAGUGCAUAUACUGAUUUUAAUAGGGUACCGCUUUGCAGUUAGGAAUUAUCUCAGGUCUAUGCUGCCUGUAUCUCCCUUACAUUCCAUCAGUUUUUAUUUUUUAUUUUUGGACUCGUUUUAUCUCAAAAUAUAUAUAAAGCACUACUAAUGCAUGCAUUACUAACACACCCUAUUUUACAUUAUUCUUAUACACUCUGCCAAACGAUCCCUAUUGUUACUUGAACACAUGGAUUCAUCAUCUGAACAAUUGAAACAAUUAAUACUUGUGUGAACCUCUUGUUAUUUCGAGUGAUGUGUCAGAAUCUUUAGCCAACUAAGACUAGCGUUAAAUUUUUGGCAAGUCUCAAGAAGUGUAAUUAAUACUUAAUAAAAUAAUCUCAUCCUUGAGAUUCAAGAACUUGUUUGGUCUGAAUAGGUUUUAAUCAUUAAGAUCUAGAACAAAGUCUUAAUAUUAGUAAGAGGUAUUUUUGUGUGAAUAGUUUUCUUUGAGGUUCGAGAAAUGGAAUAGAUAUGGACUACAAGUUGAUAUUCGCCAUUAGGAAAUUCACACGAAAAGGAACGAGGAAUUCUCAAUGAAAAAAGCGCUCUCUAAAUCUGUUUAGUAUUUGCCAUGAGGUUCUUACCAUAAUUGAAUUUUCCUUUUAGGAAAAGGUAAACACAGUCUCCAUAUUUGUCUAGUUCUUUUUCUUGUACGAAAAAAAUUAUGACUCUAUAAAUAGAUGUUUAUUCAUUCUAGCUUGGUAGCAUUCAUAAUGUAGUCUUAGGGGGCUUUGAGAGUUUUGUGUAUUGUGUGAAGCUAGGGGAAGAAUGUGUGAGACACAAGUAUUACUUUAACACUUGUGUGAACCUCUUUGUAUUCCGAGUGAAUUGUGUGAGGUCAUUCUUCUCUAGAUUUUGAACUUUCUUUUAUAUAGUGAUUUUUUCAUCUCCUCUUGUGGAUGUAGACCGGUUGACCGAACCACGAUAAAUGUUUGUGUCUUUUUGUAUAUUUCUCGUUUGUCUUAUUACUCAUCGUCUUUCGAGGUUUGCUUUGCUAACUUUUGCAUGACACCUAAUUAUUUCAGUCCCAACAAGUGAUAUCAGAGUCAAGUUCAAUGGUUUAAUGAUCCAAUGGUUGAACCAGGUCAAAAAUAAGUGUUCAUCUUGACGGGUUUAGUUCUACCAUAACAUAUUUGAUAGUAAUGAAGAUUUUUGUUGGAGAAAUAUUUUCAAAGAUGUUUUUUGUGUUGAGAUAUAUAUAUAUAUAUAGAGAGAGAGAGAGAGAGAGAGAGAGAGAGAGAGAGAGAGAGAGGGAGAUAUUUUGCAGAGGAGAUGCAUAGUUAUUGAAGAUUAUGUGAAGAAGGUGGAACAAAUUUAUUUUGUCAGAAAUUUAGGCCAAUGGAGAUAUUUGUUUAGUAUUUGUCAUGAGUUUCUUACCAUAAUUGAGUUUUUUUCUUUUAGAAAAAGGAAAACACAAAGUUUCCAUAUUUGGCUAGUUCUUUUUCUUGUAGGAAAAUGUUUAUGACUCUAAAAUUAUAUGUGUAUUCCUUCUAGCCUAAUAGCAUUCACAAUGUAGUCCUAGGGGGCUUAGAGAGUUUUGUGUAUUGCGUGUAGCUAGGGGAGAAUGUGUGAGACACAAGUGUUACUUUAACACUUCCGUAAACCUCUUUGUUUUUACAUUGAAUUGUGUGGGGUUAUUCCUCUCUAUAUUUUGUACUUUCUUUUAUAUAGUGAAUUGCUCAUAUCCUCUUUUGGAUGUAGGUCGGUUGUUCAAACGACGUUAAAUAUUUGUGUCUUUUGGUAUAUUUUUUGUUUGUUUUAUUACUCACAGUCUUUCAAAGUUUGCUUUGCUAGCUUUUGCAUGAUACCUAAUUAUUUCAGUCCCAACAAAACCAAACGUGAAAGUUGUUUUCCAGCAGGCAACUUUUCUAGUAGCUCUACUCUCGACUUGGAUAAUAUAUCCAAAAAGGUACGCUUUCGGUCAUUCCACAUGCUGCCUAUGUAGAGACAUGUUUAUCUAAAGUGGAUUCUCUUUUUUGCAGUAGGUAUUGAACCUGUUAUGCCCAUUGACUAAGAAGCUAGGGGUGGACACAACAACUACAUGGACCUCUUCCUUUCAUUGGCCAUCACCAUUAGUCGUCUUUGUUAUCACAAUGACCACCACCAUUACCGUCAUCAAAUAUCUCUGUCAUCACAAUUACCAUUCUUAUCAACCACUACUAUAUAUCAAGCAUUUGCUAUAUUUAUGUUUUUUAUCGACAUAAACAAUGGGUUAACAUGAUAUAAUUUAUUAGUAGUUUUAUAUAUUUUUCCCAUAAUAAAGGAAACAAUCACUUAUACAUUCUUUGAGAUCAUUUAGUGUAAAAUCAGGAGUGGAAUCAUAACUAGGGUUAUAGCUUAGGAUCAAUUCACCUUCUUAAUUAAUGGGAUAAUUUACUUAGCUAAAUUUGAGUGAAAAGAAGAAGAAAUUAAUUAAUUUAAUUCGUUUACGUUCCAAUGGGGUGUGCAAUACCCAUAAAUUUGUCAUGUCGUUAUUAGGUGUUCAUGAGAUGCAUAUAUUUCAAGCAAAAGUGUCUAUCUGAUUACUAGACAAGUUUAGCCGUCCAAUUUACAAAUUCUGCCAAAUUUGAGGGACUAUCUAGAUAUUAUUAAGAAAAUCUAUCUUAUUUAAUAUAAUAUUUAAAAUAGAUAACUUUGUAAUUAGUGUUCGCUAGAUCUUCAUAUUUUCUCCAACCAUUAUAAAUUCUCAGUGCUCUCUCUAUAUAAAUUCAUCAGGAUAAAAAUAAACAAGACAAGAUAUCAUACAUAAAAAAUAUCCAAAAGAGUUUUCUUUAAAUAUGUGUAAUCUUUUUUAAAUAGCAUAUCCCUUAAGAAGCUAUGUAGUUUUAUCACAAUGUCCUUCUUUAAUUGUUUUUCUUUAAUUAAUAAAAAGGUGUGUUAUAUAUAUCUUCAAUUGAUGAUAAGCCCACUUAUAUACAAAUAAAGUAAUGCAAGUGAAACUCUGUAAAGAAUCCUAUGAAGGUUCUAGCAGAGAAAUUAUAUUUAAAAAGGAGGGUAAUAGCUAAUGUGAAACAAUUAGGGUUGUAAAAUAAAAAAUAAAUCAAAAUAAUAAUAAUUAGGGUUGCAAAGCAACACCCUCUAUUAUUGAAGUUGAAGUUGUAAUUCGUAGGAUUAUUAUAUAAUUGUAAUAAUGCCUAGCUUUUUGUAACAAGAAGAGAAGUGUAUCAUCAUUUGGAGAGUUGUUAGAACAAUUAUAGUUAACAUUUGAGUUAAAGUACUAAAAUUAAUCUCUUAAAUUAUAAAGGUGUAAUUUGAAAUCAUUCGUUGAAGUUAGUAUAGAUUGAUUGAUAAGGAGUUGUUUAUAGUCUUUUGAGCAAAGAUAUUUUCAUUGUAAGCCCUUUCUUACUUAAUUAGCACUCCUUCGUUACUUUUUACUUAGUAGGACAUACGAAUUGAGGUUAGCUUAUCGCAAUCUAGUAUAUACAUUCAAUUAUUAGAAAAUAAAAUAAUAAUAAUAAAAUUAUUAUUAAAUUUAAGUUUUACUGUCUGGAUUUAUCAUGACACAUAUAAUGUCCACUUGGGCAAAUUUAUUAUUUAAAACACAAUAAUAAUAAUAUAUUCAAUGUAAUUUCAUAAUUGACAUUUGAGAAGAAAAAAUAUAUAUGCUAACCCUUGAUUAAAAAAUUAAAAUUAACCAACCAAAACUAAAAUAAAUAUUUAUAUAAGGUUGUGUAGUGAGAACAAUUAGAUAUACUGGUUUUAAUUCAACUAUGCAUUAAAAAGAACAAUAAGUUGCUGUGGUGUAGUGGUUAUCACGUUAGUCUUACACACUAAAGGUCCCCAGUUCGAUCCUGGGCAGCAACAUAUAUGUAAAAAGUUUUACUUUUUUUUUGAUAUGUCGACGAAAACGUGUUUAUCCUUUUAUUUGUCGGCGGCAUGUCGACGAAAACGUGUUUCUCCUCUUUAUUGUUUUCACCAUGACCUCUUCACUACUAUAUUUACAUUACAUGCUUGUUCUAUCGGAAACAACUCUACCUUCACAAGGUAGGGUAAGACUGCAUAAACGUCACCCUCCCCAUAGUACGUAAAAAGAAUAUGAGACAGCUGCAGGAUCAUGGAAAGAUCAAAUUUUCUCUUUAUUUCAUUAUUGCAAUUACUCCAUGUCAAAAUCCAAAUACAUUCUAUAGGCAUUUCUAUCUGAAGAGUAAUAGCCCUCCACAAGAGUAUCCACUUGGAAACCGAGUUUCUUGUAUAGCUGCAUAGCUGCAGUCCUUGUAGGAUCUACAUGAAGCGAUAUCCGAUGAACGUUUCUUGUUCUGCAUUUCUGCACUGCUGCCUCCAGUAAUUUUUCUCCAUGGCCUUGUCCCCUGUAGUUCUCUUUCACUGAUGUAUUCCACAGGAACGAUGCAUCAGUAAACAAAACGAAAAAUUUUAAAUGACAAAAGAUAAGGAAUAUUGUAAAUGAAUCUCUUAACCCCUCGUUUUUCAACUUGUGUUGAUUCGCUCAGGCCAGAGAACAACAAGAGAGAGACAGGCAUAAACAUCACGAUGAAAAACUCAUAACCACAUAGAGAACGAAAGCAAUUCUUUUGAAAAAUAAACAUCACAUGAAAGAUGGUUCUCUCUUCUAUGUAAUGACGGACAAUGCUUCACUGACUUAUCGGGAAUAUUUACUAAUAAUAUCAAUUCACCUUCUGCCUUUCCCUAUUGCGAUUCAAUAUGAUGACGAUCAGAGAAAGAUAUAACUAAACUCUCCUGCAAAAUUCCUUUAAAACAACUGCUAGCUAUUUCAAGGUUCGUUGUUUCCGCAAUAGUAACAUAUCAGCUUUGCUCGGAGGGGAAAACUACAUAACACCACUCUAAUUUAGAAAUGCUGCACUUUCAUCCAAUCCAGCUACAGAGAAAAACGUUGAAAGAGCAGAAGCAAUUUCUCCUACCUCUCUAUUCAUAGAGAUCAAAACUUGUUCGGCAAAUGCAUUCAUGCAUAUUCUUCUUUAAAAGACAACUUUUUGUAGAUGAACUGCUCCCAAAUAAGUAUUUUUAUCUUUUGAAUGCUCAAGUUAUAGUCACAUUCACACUCUUGACUGCUCUUUUUCCUACGAAAACAUUAUCAAAGAGUCACAUUUGAGUUCCUCACGAUUAUAACCUCGUAUAUUAAAUCAAAUUGGUCCUAGUCACAUUCGGAAAUAGUCUCUCUACUUUCACAACUAGGGAUAAGACCGCGUACAGACUAACCUCUCCAAACCCCACUUGUCUACGCGGUCCUAGUCACACUCACAUUGGGAAAUUGUCUCUCUACUUUCACAGGUAGGGAUAAGACUGCGUACACACUACCCUCUCCAGACCCCACUUGUCUACACAGUCCUAGUCACACUCACAUUGGGAAAUAGUCUCUCUACUUUCACAGGUAGGGAUAAGACUGCGUACACACUACCCUCUCCAGACCUUACUUGUCUACGCAGUCCUAAUCACACUCACAUUGGGAAAUAGUCUCUCUACUUUCACAGGUAGGGAUGGAUAAGACUGCCUACACACUAUCCUCUCUCCAAACCCGACUUAUCUACACAGAGUAUGUUGUUGUUCCAAUAAACAAUAUUAGAUAUCAGCUUAGACUUCAAUCCAAGAAUACAACUACAAUAAUCAGAAUAAAUUCAAGAAUAAGACCAAUUAUUAAAAGGAAAAUCAAAGCAAAACAGAAAAUUAUGAAAAGGGUAUUUUUUGUUCAGACCUGCUAAUUUAGUGAUACAAGCAGAGAGUGAAGAAGGCCAAGAAUACAUAACAUAACCAGCAAUAUCUUCACCUAAUUGAGUGUAGAGUAACCCAGAAUUCUUCUUUUUCAGUUCCUCAUCAAAAGAUCGAGCUAAAGAUUCAUGUUUGGGGAAAAUCUUCUUCUCUAUUCUCACUAUAUCGUCAACUACCUUAACCCAAUUUGCUGAAUUUCUCUGCAAUUCAACUAUCUCUGCCAUUUCUUCGUUUUCAUAUUUCUCUGUUUUUGCUGCUGUAUUUAGGUUAACAAGAAUCUACUGGGGUCAUUAUUGGAAAGAAAAAUAGUUCCUCUGUUAUUUUAAAAGUUUUUACUUUAUUUUUUUUAACUAUAAAGUUCUUAUAUAUUUUUAACGUUUUAAUUAUUAGAAACUAUUAUGUACAUUGUUUUUAUUUUACAUGGUUUAUUAAUAUAUAUAGUAUAAAUUUGCAUUCAUGUAUUAAUUAACUUAUCAAUUAAUCAAUAGUAAAAAUUCUCUCUGAUUUUCUGAUUAUUUAUGGCCAGUUUUUUUUUGUAUGUGUGCGUCUCUAAGCUCGUAAGUGAAAGUAAAUCAAUUUUUUAAUUGUUAAUUUAUGCCCAACUUCUUUAUGUAUGUGUGCGUUUCUAAGCUCGUAAGUGAAAGUAAAUCGAGUCUCACGAUAUCAUCUGUCUUUGUCAUACUCGUCUGGUUGAACAAGGACUAAUACUAGUUGUUGAGCAAAAUUAAUUUAUAAAUACUCUUAACAAGGUGUGAUAUUAUUUGUUUUGGGUAAAGUCUUUGUAAGGCUUCACACUAUUAAGAGAUUCUACACUUUAUAUGUAAUUUUUCAAUCUUUUCAGCUAUCAAUGUGGGAUUUUAUUUACCCAACUAACAAUUUUGUUAUUUGUUCUUACAUUUUGGUGUUAGCUUUGGCCUUUGUGUACUCCAUCAUAGGUUGAGGAAAGGGAUCAUAUAUAAUUGGAAAAAUACAAAUCAGAAUGGUAUUUUUGUUAGUAAUCCAAGGGAUUGGUUUACUUUUGGACAUGUUAUUUUUUUGGUUCUACUUAAGGUUAGUAAGGUCAUUUCAAUAUUAUUUUCUUCCUACUUCAAUCAACAGCAACUUCUAUUUUUCCUUAUAUGACAACGCAAUUCAAUCUAGCUACGUUGUUAUGUUAACCAACCCCAAAAACAGGACACCAUAUCUAGAUUGAUAAGCUUAAGUAAGUUUCGAUAUGACUCAUUUAUACUUCAAUUAAUCUAAAGUAAAACUUAUCCAUAUGUAUGAUCCAGCCAAAUUAUUUUAUCAAUAUAAUCGAAAUAUUAAAAACAUAUUUAGUAAUUAUGGAUAUCAUAGGUAUAGAUAUGUAUAUAUAUUAUACUAAAAUAUACAAAACCUAUACAAUUAUGACUAUUUGUAAAUUAGAUUAAUCAAAGACAUUGAACUGUAAUUAUUCCAAUCUAUACUUUAAACCCUUUUCACUUCAAAGCACUAUCCCAAUUCUAAACAGUUUGAGACAUGGUAAAAAAAAAUAAUUGAUUUUUUUUUUUUUAAGAUGGGGUGUAGUUAGGUGGAAUUUUCUUGGUUUUGUUCAAAUAAGUCUGCCUUUUGAAGCAUAGGCAUACUUGUUUCAUCUUUAUAUAUAUAUAUAUAAUAAUGAUGUUCUGGAUAACUUUUACACCUUAACUUGAUUAAUUAUGUGAGAUAUCUGUCAUUUUUCAUAGCAAUAUUAUAUUUAACUAUAUUCGCCCAAACUAAAACAGGUAGAAAUAACAUUUGAAUCUGUCAAACUGCAAUAAUGAAUUAUAUAUGGUGGAAGAUUCUUUGGGGCCCAACUGGCCCCACAGCUAAUAUUUUAACGGACGUCCAUGAAAAGUUUUAACAAAAUCACGUCGAAAUUCUAGAUCACCAAAAAUUCAUGGACUAUAUAGCACACGAUAAUCAGCAAAAUGGGGGGGGGGGUUACUUGCUCAAGGGCUCGUCUGACCUUGAAAAUGGGCUGGUUUGCCCGUGGGGACCAAUUGGCUCUAUAACUAAGGUCUUAACGGACGUCCAUGAAAAGUUAUUGCAAAAAAUCACGUUGGAGUUCCAUAUCACCAAAAAUCCAUGGACUAUAGCACAUGAAAAUUGGCAAAAUAAAGGGUUUACCUACUCUGGGCUCGUUUGACCUUGAAAAUGGGUUGGUUUGCCCGUGGGAACCAGCCGGCUCCAUAGCUAAGGUUUUAACGGAAAACCAUGAAAUUUUUUGGCAAAAGUCACGUCGGAAUUGCGGAUCACCAAAAAUCCAUGGACUAUAGUACACGAAAAUCGGCAAAAUGGGGGGGUUUACCUACUCUGGGGAUUGUUUGACCUUGAAAAUUUCCCGAUUUGCCCGUGUGGACCAACUGGCACCACAGCUAAGGUUUUAAUGGACGACCAUGAAAUUUUUUGGCAAAAGUCACGUCGGAAUUGCGGAUCACCAAAAGUUCAUGGACUAUAGUACACGAAAAUUGACAAAAUAGGGGGUUUACCUACUCUGGGGAUCGUUUGACCUUGAAAAUUGUCCGGUUUGCCCGUGUGGACCAACUGGCUCUAUAGCUAAGGUCUUAACGGACGUAUACAGAAAAUUUUGGCAAAAAUCACGUCAAAAUUUCGGAUCACCAAAAAUGCAUGGUCUAUAACACACGAAAAUCGGUAAAAUGAGGGUUUACCUGCUCUGGGGAUCAUUUGACCUUGAAAAUGGGUCGGUUUACUCGUGGGGACCAACUGGCUCUAUGCUAAGGUCUUAACGGACGUCUAUGAAAUUUUUUAGCAAAAAUCACGUCGAAAUUUCGGAUCACCAAAAUCCUAUGGACUAUAGCACACAAAAAUCGGCAAAAUAGGGGGUUUACCUGCUCUAGGCUCGUUUGACCUUGAAAAUGGGCCGAUUUUCCCGUGGGGACCAACUGGCUCCAUAGCUAAGGACUUCACGGACGUCCUUGACAAAUUUUGGCAAAAAUCACGUCGGAAUUCCGUAUCACCAAAAAUUUACGGACCAUAGCACACGAAAAUAGGCAAAAUGGGGGGUUUACCUGCUCUGGGCUCAUUUGACCUUGAAAAUGGGCCGGUUUGCUCGUGGGGACCAACUGGCUGCAUAGCUAAGGUCUUAACGGAUGUCCAUGAAAAUUUUUGGUAAAAAUCACGUAGGAAUUCCGGAUCACAAAAAAUCCAUGGAUUAUAGCACAUGAAAAUCGGCAAAAUGGGGGGUUUUACCUGCUCUGGGGUUCAUUUAACCUUGAAAAUGGGCCAAUUUUCCCGUGGGGACCAACUGGCUCUAUAGGUAAGGCUUAAUGGACGUCCAUGAAUUUUUUUUGUAAAAAUCAUGUCAAAAUUCUGUAUCUCCAAAAAUCCAUGGACUAUAGCACACAAAAAUCAGCAAAAUGGGCGGUUUACCUGCUCUGGGAAUCGUUUGAACUUGAAAAUGGGCCGGUUUACCCAUGGGGAUCAACUGUCUUCAUAGCUAAGGUCUUAACGGACGUCUUUAAAAAUUUUGGCAAAAUUACGUCGAAAUUCCAGAUCAUCAAAAAUCCAUGGAUUAUAGCACAAGAAAAUGGGUAAAAUGGGUUGGUUUGCCCGUGGGGACCAACUGGCUCCAUAGCUAAGGUCUUAACGGACGUCCAUGAAAUUUUUUAGAAAAAAUCAUGUCGAAAUUCUGGAUCACCAAAAAUUGAUGGACUAGCACACAAAAAUUGGCAAAAUGGGGGGUUUACCUACUCUGGGGAUCGUUUGACCUUGUAACUGGGCCAAUUUUCCUGUGGGACCAACUGGCUCCAUAACUAAGGUCUUAACGGACGUCCAUGGAAAUUUUUGGAAAAAAUCACAUCAGAAUUCCGGAUCACCAAAAAUUCAUGGAUUAUAGCUCACGAAAAUUGGCAAAAUGGGGGGUUUACCUGCUCUUGGGCUCAUUUGACGUUGAAAAUGAGCCGGUUUGCUCGUGGGGACCAACUGGCUCCAUAGCUAAGGUCUUAACGGACGUCCAUAAAUUUUUUUGGCAAAAAUCACGUCGGAAUUCCGGAUCACAUUCAUGACUAUUUGUAAAUUAGAUUGAUCAAAGACAUUGAACUGUAAUUAUUCCAAUCUAUUCUUUAAACCUUUUUCACUUCAAAGUACUAUCCCAAUUCUAAACAGGUUGAGACCUAGUAAAAAAAAUGAUUUUUUUUAAAGAUGGGGUGUAGUUAGGUGGAAUUUUCUUGGUUUUGUUCAAAUAAGUCUGCCUUUUGAAGCAUCGGCUAUUCUUGUUUCAUCUUUAUUUUAUUUUUCAUAAUAAUGGUGUUCUGGAUAACUUUCACACCUUGACUUGAUUAAUUAUGUGAGAUAUUUAUCUGAUCAUUUUUCAUCAGCAAUAUUUAACUAUAUUCGCCUAAACUAAAACAGGUAGAAAUAACAUUUGAAUCUGUCAAACUUCAAUAAUGAAUUAUAUAUGGUAGAAGAUUCUUUGGGGCCAUUAUGCAAUGAUAGUGGAACAUGAGAAUAUUUUUAUGAUUGGUAAAAAUAUCAUGGGAAUGGCGAAAAACUAGCUUUGAUAAGAAGAAUAUGAUGCUUUAUAACAUUAUCAAGGGAACAAAAGUCAUUUUUAUAUAUUUGAAGAAAAGAAAGUUUUCACAUUACAAUAAUUGGGAUGCCUAUAAAUGUGUGGUUCAAAAUGAUAGUGACAAGCCACAUAUUAUAUUGAAGCAUUAAUUAAUCAUAGUAAAGAAAGUUCAAUGUUAUUAUUAGGGGCAAUUUGUGCAAAGUAGAUAUGACCUAAGUUGCUUGAACGCAAAGGUAAUGUUAUAAUGUUUGUGAAAAAUUGAUAGAUCAUUAAAUCAUUAAACCUAUUACCUAUAUAAGAUUUAGUGCUAAUUACAAUCAUUUCUAUGUAGUGUAAGUGAUGUUGGAUUAGGUGGAUAUCAACUUAUCAAAGUGGACACCAAAUUUUUUAAAUUGCUUUCUCUAGUGUUACACUAACUUUAAUAAGUGGAAAUCCUUAGACAAUUGUUGAAGAUAUCUAUCAUAUUUGAUCAAAUAAAACAUAAGUUAUCAAUCAUAGAAUCAGAUAUAUACCUUUAAAUUCACGGGAGCGUUUGACUAUGUUUCAUUGUGAAAUUUGAUUUUUCUUUUCAAGUAAAAAAAGAUAAAUUGAAAUUAGAUAUUGUUAUCAACUUGUAUACCACUAGUUCGAAAGGCAUAAUUUCUUAAACUGACAUUCAAACUUAGCCUCCACUUACAAGUAAUUACUUCAACUUUUUCAUUAUGUAUGCAUAUUUAGACACCUUAUAAACUCGACUCAUUUCCACUAUACCAGCUAAACUCUCCAACAUAUGUACAAAAUAAUCAUCUAGUCACCUUCAAAAUUUAUUCAUUACAUCAGCAUCGAAUGUAAUGAGAUACAGAGACGAGUUGAGUAUUUAGUAGACCGUUGAAACCAAGUUGAGGUGUCCAUACCUAUACAACAAUUAUCACAGGUGACAUGCUUUCAAAUAAUUUUGAAGUAUUAAAAAUAGAUGAUUUAUUAAAAUAAGAUAUUUCUCACCAUAAGCAAUUUUCAAUUCUUUCGCAUCAAACGCACCCAUAUUUAGAAUGUUCUAUACUAUCACUCUCCAUAGACGGCAGCCAUCAUGUCAAUCACCACCCACCAGCACUUGCUGUUGUUAACCUUGCCAAAUAGAUAAUGACAAGUUGGCAUAUGAGAUAGGUGGUCUACGCCUAUCAACAUGAGUUGUGGUGCAAUGGUGGAAUUGCUCAAUCCUUAAUUAGAAAUUUCAGGUUUGAGUCUUGGGUAUGAAGAAAAUUCUAUUGGAAGCGUCACUCUCAAAUGAGUCCUGUGCUGUACAAUUCAGAUUUAAUUAAGGCUUUAAUGCAGACUCCGAACAGUGAGCGUGAGAAAAAAAGAGAGGUGGCCUAUGCCUAUUUCUCUUUGAGAUGUUGAUGCCUUGAUUUUGAAUGUCUUGUUUUUCAAUCCUCGUGCUUAUAUCUUUGAAUAUUCAUUACUUUCUCUAGAUGUGAAAACUACUCUUUCCGUUUCAAUUUGAAUAUUCAGAUUAUAAAGAAUAUUUUUUUUAUAUUUUACGUAACUUUAAUCGAAUACCAUAUAAUUUAAAAGUUCGUUUUACUUUUUUAAAUCAAAAUCAAAUAAAUAAAUUAAAACGAAAGGAGUGAUGGCUGAGAUGUCCUGUAAAAUGGUAUUGGUCUCUUUAGUGGGAUUUUGUUAUUUUGAUUUUAAAUUGACACAAGAAGCUAAACAAGCUUUGUCUUCUUAAUGAUUGGAUUUGAUUCAUCUUUUCAAUUUCAAUUGAGUCUGUCUCAAAAUUCAUAAUGUUAACUAUAUAAAUCCAGGUGAUCAUAUAUUACAUUGAUCUAAGAUGUAUAUUCAUAUCAUAUAUCGCGUUACUAAAUAUAAUUACAUUGUAUGAACACGCGAAGAAGAUGAUCAGAACAAGAGAAGACAUGUUACUAAACAACAACAUAAGAAAAAACAAAUUCUGUUAAGUGAUUGAUCCGCGUGUGAUAGUUGUCUUCUUAACCUUGGACUAUUGCUUCCUGCUAGAUUAUAUGAACUUGAAUAUGUAUACAAAUUAGUAUUCAAUGAGUUCCCAAACAUUCGCGCAUAAAAAAUUUCCCCUGUUGUCGUUCCACCAGGACUUAGCAUAUGUUCUGUAUUUGUAUAAUUUCGAUGAUGAUCAUGAGAUUGUUGGUAUAAUGGAGGCAUAUUAUUAUUGGGUAUUACUCCGUGACUCCUACAUCUCGGAGUAGGAGGUCUUUGUGGUAUGACUAUACCAAGAUUCAGGGCCUUGCCUGCUGUUUUUGUAGCUUGACCGCGACCAUAGAGUGGAAUCAAUGUUUUUUGUGAGACUUCAGCUUUGCAAACAGGGCAUUUUGGCUGUUGAUUAUCGAUGUUCUCUGAUGAAAUGGUCUUAAUAUGUAUCCAUUUGUAGAUGCAAGGCCAACAAUAGAGGUGACCACAUAAUGUAACAACAGGAUCAUGUACAACAUCCAGGCAAAUGUUGCACUCGAAACCUCCAGGUGAAUUUUCUUCAAGUUUAUCAAGAUCAAUUGUCUUACAUUUUUCAAAGGAAAUAUCGCGUUGAUCAAAAAUAGUUUCUGGUAUUUGGUCUUGAAAAAUUUGUUCUAAGGCCAUAUUUGCUUCUUGGUAUUGAUUUAUUUUGGUAAUGGCAAGAUGAAUGGUUAGAAUUCAGGUUUUUAAUACAAUUAGAAGUGAGUAUUUAUAAGGACAAGAAUAGUAGUUUGCAAACAAUGAUUCUUAAGGUUGUCACUUGUCAACAUCACAUCAUGUUAAAGGGGCAUGGCCAAAAAGAAAAGGCCCUACACAUUAUUAAACAACACUAUAUCAUAUUACUCAACUCAGUUUUGAUUUAUGGGUACUGUUUGAUUUGAUAUAACAUUUAAUAAGAAAAUGAAAACUUUUAAAAUAUGUACUGUAUUAAAGAUAAAAAAUAAAUUUUAAAUUUUUAGAUCCUAGAAAUGAUAUUCUUUUUAUAUUAAGACUACAACAAAUGUCUUACAUAAAUUAAGACAGGUGAACUAUCAAACACAUCAUAAUUAAGUGAUUUAAUGAAGUCAAAAAUAAAUAUUAAUGGAUCAUGGUUAAGUGAGAGGAGUUUUGUGCAAACACGUCUUUUAUCUAUCUAUUUGAUUUAAACAAGCAUAAGUUUUAUCAUAUUAGAAAUAUGAUUAGGACCUUAUAUUAGGCCCCAUGAUAAGAAUCUUAAUCUAGAAAAUAACUUUUAGUCAAUAAAAAGUAGCACUAGUUGCGUACAAGGAGCUACCACUUGAUGACCUUCCACACAGCCACAUCCCAUAAGUUCAAUAGUUUUCACACUAUAAGAACUAGAUGUUUUUUUCCGAGUGAAUCAAUAAAAAUUUUAUGUUAUAAAACAUGAUUUUUUUCAUUUUGAUUUUAUUAAACUAAUUCACUAAGAAAACCCAUAACGAAACAUAAGUUCUCAUUGAAAUACUGGAAAUAGUCACUUGGAAAUUUAUGAGUUUUAGGAAAUUAUGCAUCAAAACUUAGAAAGACGCGGCUCAUAUAGAAAUUUGUUGUUAAAUCAUAAUAUAUACUUUUACAUCUGAAUAUCUUUAUUGAUUUGGUUAAAAUUAUAAUUAAAAAAAUUACAAUACAAUAUAUAUAGAUUCACAUAAAUUUAAUACUGUAAGUUCAAUUAUUAUUAUGAUAUAUUAAUCUAAAAUUAUUAUAGAAGCUUCUAAACUCUAAAUUCAGAUCCAACUAAGGAGUGAAUAUACAUAGUGGGGGUCUGGGGGAUGGGAGAAAACAUAUGGACGGUGUGACAAAUAAAUAAAAGAAAUACUCCGUCCAUUCCAUUUGACUUAGUAUUGUUUGACUUAAUACGAUGUAUAAGAGAAAAAAAAGAUUUUAGAAAAUUAUAGGCUAAAACAAUUUUUAUAUAUUUAUAUAAUUGUAAAUCAUUUCAUUAAUUAAGGGUAGAUGGAGAAUUUUAAGUUUAAUUAUUUUCAAUUACAAUAAAAUGACAUUUUUAAAGACGGAUUAUGAGAAUAGAGUGCCACGUAAUAUAAAACGAGAAAAUACUACUCCCUCCUUCCCAUUUUAUAUGUUACCUUUUUACUUUACAUUUACAUUAAGAAAUAAUGUAACUUUACCCUUCUACCCUUAUUUAAUGUUUUCUUAAGUUAACUUUAUAACUCCCUCCGUCCCAUUUUAUAUGUCAUCUCUUUCUAUAAAUAGUUGGACCACAAUACUUGUCAUUUUAUAAAAUUUAUGUAUAAAUUACCAUAUUUUACCUAUUAUAUCCUUGAUAGAGUAGUUAAUUAAUCUUGAAAAUAUAUUCAUCAUUUAUUAUAAAUUGACUUAAGAAAAUAUUAAAUAAGAAUAGAAAGAUAAAAUUACAUCAUUCUUCAACAAGUGGUAUCAGAGCCAGGUUAAUAAGAGCGAGGUAGUAACUCAAAAGAGAUCCUACAAGCUACCGUCGGAGGCUACAAAUCGCGAGGCACUAAUUAAUGAUGGAUUUUGCAAGCACUCUCAAUAGCGUUGAGANNNNNNNNNNNNNNNNNNNNNNNNNNNNNNNNNNNNNNNNNNNNNNNNNNNNNNNNNNNNNNNNNNNNNNNNNNNNNNNNNNNNNNNNNNNNNNNNNNNNNNNNNNNNNNNNNNNNNNNNNNNNNNNNNNNNNNNNNNNNNNNNNNNNNNNNNNNNNNNNNNNNNNNNNNNNNNNNNNNNNNNNNNNNNNNNNNNNNNNNNNNNNNNNNNNNNNNNNNNNNNNNNNNNNNNNNNNNNNNNNNNNNNNNNNNNNNNNNNNNNNNNNNNNNNNNNNNNNNNNNNNNNNNNNNNNNNNNNNNNNNNNNNNNNNNNNNNNNNNNNNNNNNNNNNNNNNNNNNNNNNNNNNNNNNNNNNNNNNNNNNNNNNNNNNNNNNNNNNNNNNNNNNNNNNNNNNNNNNNNNNNNNNNNNNNNNNNNNNNNNNNNNNNNNNNNNNNNNNNNNNNNNNNNNNNNNNNNNNNNNNNNNNNNNNNNNNNNNNNNNNNNNNNNNNNNNNNNNNNNNNNNNNNNNNNNNNNNNNNNNNNNNNNNNNNNNNNNNNNNNNNNNNNNNNNNNNNNNNNNNNNNNNNNNNNNNNNNNNNNNNNNNNNNNNNNNNNNNNNNNNNNNNNNNNNNNNNNNNNNNNNNNNNNNNNNNNNNNNNNNNNNNNNNNNNNNNNNNNNNNNNNNNNNNNNNNNNNNNNNNNNNNNNNNNNNNNNNNNNNNNNNNNNNNNNNNNNNNNNNNNNNNNNNNNNNNNNNNNNNNNNNNNNNNNNNNNNNNNNNNNNNNNNNNNNNNNNNNNNNNNNNNNNNNNNNNNNNNNNNNNNNNNNNNNNNNNNNNNNNNNNNNNNNNNNNNNNNNNNNNNNNNNNNNNNNNNNNNNNNNNNNNNNNNNNNNNNNNNNNNNNNNNNNNNNNNNNNNNNNNNNNNNNNNNNNNNNNNNNNNNNNNNNNNNNNNNNNNNNNNNNNNNNNNNNNNNNNNNNNNNNNNNNNNNNNNNNNNNNNNNNNNNNNNNNNNNNNNNNNNNNNNNNNNNNNNNNNNNNNNNNNNNNNNNNNNNNNNNNNNNNNNNNNNNNNNNNNNNNNNNNNNNNNNNNNNNNNNNNNNNNNNNNNNNNNNNNNNNNNNNNNNNNNNNNNNNNNNNNNNNNNNNNNNNNNNNNNNNNNNNNNNNNNNNNNNNNNNNNNNNNNNNNNNNNNNNNNNNNNNNNNNNNNNNNNNNNNNNNNNNNNNNNNNNNNNNNNNNNNNNNNNNNNNNNNNNNNNNNNNNNNNNNNNNNNNNNNNNNNNNNNNNNNNNNNNNNNNNNNNNNNNNNNNNNNNNNNNNNNNNNNNNNNNNNNNNNNNNNNNNNNNNNNNNNNNNNNNNNNNNNNNNNNNNNNNNNNNNNNNNNNNNNNNNNNNNNNNNNNNNNNNNNNNNNNNNNNNNNNNNNNNNNNNNNNNNNNNNNNNNNNNNNNNNNNNNNNNNNNNNNNNNNNNNNNNNNNNNNNNNNNNNNNNNNNNNNNNNNNNNNNNNNNNNNNNAAGCUUGAGAUAAGAGGAGACGUUAUAUGUGCUGGAUGUCAAUAUGGGAAAGCACAUCAACUUCCCUAUGGAGAAUCAAAGUAUCAAGCGNNNNNNNNNNNNNNNNNNNNNNNNNNNNNNNNNNNNNNNNNNNNNNNNNNNNNNNNNNNNNNNNNNNNNNNNGACCAGUGAAGCAGUCCUCCAUCAGCGGUUACCGUUACAUGGUAACAUUCAGUGAUGACUUCUCAAGGUACGUAUGGAUUUACUUCAUAAAAGAGAAAUUUGAAGUAUUUGAGAAGUUUAAAGAGUUUCAAUAUACUGUGGAGAAUGAUAUUGGAAGAAAAAUCAAAUGUCUCCGUACGGACAAUGGGGGAGAAUACACGUCACGAGAGUUCAAUGAAUAUCUUAAAGAGAAGUUGAUAAGACGACAACUAACUUGUCCAAAUACACCACAACAAAAUGGAGUGGCUGAAAGAAAAAAUAGACAUCUGGCGGAGAUAUGCAGAAGUAUGUUGCAUAGUAUGAAUGUACCAGCAAGGUUUUGGGCAGAAUGCAUGAAGACUGUUGUCCACAUCAUCAACAGGCUGCCGCAGGCAAGAUUGAGAUUUAUCUCACCAUUUGAGAAACUUAAAAAAAUAGAUUCCUACUGUAAGCCACUUUCGAGUUUUUGGUUGUGUGUGCUAUGUGUUCGUGCCAGAUCAUCUCCGCAACAAGUUUGAUAAGAAAGCUGUUCGUUGCAUCUUUGUUGGAUACGAUGAACAAAGAAAAGGAUGGAAGUGUUGUGACCCUACCACAAAUCGGACAUAUGUGUCAAGAAAUGUGGUAUUUGAUGAAGCAUCAUCUUGGUGGUCCAAAGAAGUCUCCCUGCCAGACUCAAUAGCUCUUGAGCAAAAGCUGCAAGAUAAGCUCAAUGAAGUAGAACAAGGGAACAAGAUAGACUCUAACCAGGAGGUAUCUCCACAAAAGGAAAAGAAAAGCUUACCACAAACUGGAGCUUGUGAAACACCAGAUGAGUUGCAAGAAGAAGUCCAAGAAGAGUCACAAUCGCAACUGAGGAGGUCUACACGACUGAAGCGUCCAAACAUCAAGUACAUAGAUGCAGCAUUAACCGAGGUGGUUAACAUCAAAGAGGCUGCUACCUUUGAAGAAGCUUCAAAGAGUAGGGAUCGGAAUAAUCCGACGAAGGUGGAGAUCCCCAAAGGGUAUGGACGUUAUGAUGCUUGCAAAGUUUCAGGAAUCGCUCACAAAAGACGCAAAGAAAAAAUUAAGUUGGUGUUGAGGGGGAGUGUUAAGAAUUCAUCACCAACUUAAUUCUUUACUUAAGAUAAAUCAAGAAAAAUCUAGAAUAUUCCGGAGGUGUAGAGAAUUGAAGGAAGAUCUCUAGAAUGAGUAUUCUAGAAAGAAUAGUCUAGAAAUGUUCUAGAAAGAAUAGUUCUAGAAAAAGAUAGUUAGGAAUAUUCUAGAAUAGAGUAGUAUGUAUCUCUCUAGAUUCUUCCAUCACCACCUAUAAAUAGAGGUGGUCCAUUUGAGUUGUAAGCAACCAAGCAAGAAACCAAGCAAGAAAUAAGAGAGCAAACAAGAGUGAGUGCUUAAGUCAAAUAGUGUUGCUGAAGCAAGCAACAAGUGUGAUCAAGAUUGUAAGACCGAAGCGGGUCCUUACUUUGAUAUAAUAAAAUUCAAGUUGUGAGAAAUCGAUUGUGCCCGUCGUCUCCAAAACAAUAAUAUUCAACACUCAUCCCCAAUUCUAGAGACUAAGUUUCUCAUCUUCAUUCUUAUCUCUAUCCUUACUUGUUAUUUCAAUAUUUCCAUUGUAAUUAGAUAGUUUGAUUAUUCCAAUUAGAAUAUUAAAGUUGUAAUAGUGUUCCAGUGCUCUUAUUAAUAGUGUGAGAAUUUUGGUUUGUUACAUCAGACGUUCUCUUUUCGAAUAAUUGAACGUCUCAUAUUAUUUGCUAAUGAAAAAUAUCAUGAGUAGGACCCAAAAAGAUAGUAGUACCAGAUAACAAACAAAAAAAUACUGUACAGUCUAAAAAUAAGUAUAGAAUAGCUUGAACUUUUGGGCCGUUGUAUAAAACACCCAGAAAGGGAGACAGGGGAGUCACUGGUCCACUUAAUUAUUACAUGUAGUAAAAUUAUUAGUUAUGUACUAGCAAUACUGGAAGUAUUAUUUCAUGGCAUAUAUUGGUGACUAAGAUAAGUGAUAAGCAUAAUAAAUAAUUUAGAAGUAGGUGGAUUCGAGUCAUCAACGAGCUCCCGGGGAGGAAUGAAAAAACUCUUAAUAAUAACUACAACAUGGAGUGGCCACUGCUAGCAUAGGUGAUAUCCUACGAAUAAUGAUGCCACUGCCUUCCGUCAUAUCCAAAUCCUCCGGUUUUAACACUUCUGGUAAUGCUAAAUUGAACUUGUGCACAAUCCUUGCUAAUGCUAGCUCAAUUACCACAAUAGCAAAACCAGUUCCUGGGCAGCCCCUUCUCCUAAAAUUGUCAACUUUUUAUAUUUUGGCUUACUUGGAAGCAAGUCUAUCCUCUCCUAUCCAAUCAAUUAGGGUGGCCAUUAAUCAGAUAUUAUUAGGCUAAAGAUAACAUAUUGCUCCCUCCGUUUUUAAUUAUUUAUCCAUUUUUUUAGUUAUUCCUAAUUACUUGUCUAUUUUGACAAAUCAAGAAAGAAUAAUUUUUUUUACCUAUUAUACCGUCAAUUUAUUACUUUGAAAAAAGUAGAACUUUUUGAAAAUCUUGAGUUUUUAAUUCAUCCACUUCAUAAUUAAUAUGGGUAAAAUGGUAAACUCACUAUUUCAAUAAUUGUUUUCUUAAUAAGUGUGCCAAUUUAAAAAUGGAUAAGUAAUUAGGGAUAGAGAAAGUAUAUCGAAAUAAUAUAAUCAGAUAUUAUGCUAAAGAUGAUUAACAAAACUUUGAACAAUUAUAAAUAAGAUAGCAAAAAAAUCGAUUAGAUAAUACUUAGCAAAUUAACACGGUUCAACGAUUAGUGAUGGAAUCUGAAUAUGAUUCGGGAUUUUCACUAUUAAUGAAAUUCAAAAGGCAUAAUACAUAAAUGUGCCCUUUAACUUGACUUCAUUUUAUGUUUAUGUCGUUCAAUUUUGGGUAUGCACAUAAACUUGUAUAAAGUUGAACAACUAGCCACAUGAGUUCUACACGACACAAUACAUUUAAGACACCACGUAGGAUAAAAAAUGACAUGUAGGAUACCAUAUAGGACAUGUGUGUCUGUUUCUUCAACUUUAUACAAAUUUAAAUGUCUACUUGUGCACACCCGAAGUUGAAGGGCAUAAAUGUGAUUUGAAGCCAAGUUAAAUGGUAUAUUUAUGUAUUAUGCCUAUUCAAAAUAUGAAUAAGUAAACAUACAAAUUAGCUGACUACAAUAAUACAAAGAUAAAAAAACAAUUUUAAUUAUAUGUAUAAAUAGUAUAAUUUUCCAUCAAAGGUGGUUCAUUUGAUUCCUCACUUCUUUCCCUCAUUUAAAACUAUGCAAUAUGAGACUUUCAUGUCACAUGGAAUCCUUCUCUUUUUUUUUUUUGGAAAUCUUAAUAGCUCAGUUAACUAACUGACUAUUUGAAUUCUCGAUUCCCCAUACUGUAAUCCUCUACCCCAAUUUUUUUCAUUACCUUCCUCACAUAUGUAUAAGACCGAAUCCAAAGAACUAAGAUGAGAGAAUUUUGGGAGAGCCGCCACUCCAACUACUGCCAUGUAUUAUCCAUACUAGAUCUGACCAUCUGUCCAUCCUACCCUCCUCUACGUUCUUGACAACCCAUUUUUGUCUUAGUCAAGUCUUUUAGUGGCACAUUUUGACCUUCUUUUCCAUUACUUAGAAAAAGUGAGCUAUUAUUCAGAUACAAAAUACUAUCAUUAUCGCCUAGAAAAUUAGACAUUCAACCCGUAAUCACAAUGAUCCAAUUACAAAAGCUCUGAACCCCCUAGGUCUAGACUGGCUCUGGCCCCUGGUUUUAUCACUUGACCUUCACAUGAGUAAACUCGUUGAUAUAGAGGAUUACAGUAUCGAUUUCUUUAAAAGAAAAAAACCUUAAUUUAUAAAAGUUCAAAAGAUUUUAAUUCAAUGUUUGUAAGUAAAAAAACAUAUUUCAUAAAACGGUUGCAAAUCACAUCGAAUAAGUUCCAUUGAUUGGUGUAUGGUUCUCAUAAGGGAAGUAACAGCAGCAUAAGCCAUAUAUCCAAAAAAUAGGACUAUCUCUCACUCUCAGUAUGAAAAUGGACAAAUUAAUUGCCACAAGUUAUGAAAAUGGCUAGUCCUCAGAACACCUUAACUACUUGCUGCAGAAUAAAAAAAAGACGCAAAAAAUGGAAAAUAAUAUGUUAGAUGUCCCAUAAUUAAGGAACAAGAGAACAUUAUAGUAAGAAUGAGCAUGCAGGUAUAAGAACUUACUCAUUAUUGCGGCAAGAAGCAACUUCUUUCUCAAAGUCAUCAUCAUCAUCAUCUUCAUCUGUUGUUACAGUAUCAAAUACCAAUUUCUCGAGCUGAUAUAAGUAGCGAAAAUCAUACAGGUCCUUGUGAUUGCGAAAGUCCUCUGGGACGCCAAAUACUUUCAACUUCUUUAAAUUGGGAAAUAGUCUAAAAAAAGACCCUGUACAAUACCAAGGAUUCAAUUGAUUGAGGCAUUGCAAACUUUUCAAAACCAAUCUGUUCUCUGUAGGCUCAUGACUCUGCAAGUAAUUCCAGCCCAUACACAGCUUCCUCAAUUGUGGCAUUGUCAAAAUUUCCGAUGGUAAUAUGAAAGGAUAAGCACAAUCACGAAACGGAAAGUUAAACUUAAAAGUUUGUAGAUAGCAUAGGCUUGAUAUCGAUAGAGGAAUGUCUAUUAUUGAUGAGGGAACAGCUUUUAACGAUCCUCGAUACUGCUUUAAGCAAGGAUAAAAACACAAAGAUAGGUAUCUCAAAUGAAUUAGAGAAAGUACUCCACUGGGAAAAAUUGGGUAUAUAUUCAAACCAAGAUCUAGUACUCUUACUAGCUUGAAAGACAAUUCCAGUGUGAAGCAUUUCAAUCCACCCAACAUGAUAAUAGAAUGAGCCUCACUGUUACGACACCAAGCCAAUUCUUCCUUCUUAUAGAUACUGAUCCGACUUCGACUCUUAAAGGAACACUGCAUGGAUUGUGCACAUGAAUUUUGAUCACUCUUUCCUCUGAUAACAUUCACAAAAUUCAUGUUUCGAGCUUCCCUCAAACAGAGUUCACGGAUCACAUCAUGCAUUCCACAUCUCUCUAUUUCCCCAUCAAAACUCAAAUUGUGGAUAGAAAUUAGACUUCUAUCUACAAGUUCGUUUAUACAUGUUUCUGCCACCUCUUCUAUGCUUUUUCCUUCUUCUUCAUUCAAAAACCCCUCUACGGCCCAUAACUCAACAAGUGCAUUUACAUAAAUCCGUUCAUCCUCUGCGAAAAUUGCAAAAUACAGAAAACACGGUUUUAGGUGAGAAGGCAAGUGAUGGUAACUCAAAGCCAACACUCUCAUGCAUUUUGCUUCAAGAUCUCUGCUUACCACCGAACUUACAUUCUCCGCAACAUUUUGCCACUCAUCCAAUGUUUUACUGAUUUUGGAGAGAAGUCCAGCAAUCAAAGUAAUUUCUAGAGGUAACCCUCCACAUUUUAAUGCAAUUUGUUUCCCAAUAUUUUCAAAUUCAGGAGAAUAAGAACCUUCUUUUUCAAAGAUCUUUUUGUGUAGUAAAUUCCAACUUUCGUCAAAAUUCAUGAGGCGCAUNNNNNNNNNNNNNNNNNNNNNNNNNNNNNNNNNNNNNNNNNNNNNNNNNNNNNNNNNNNNNNNNNNNNNNNNNNNNNNNNNNNNNNNNNNNNNNNNNNNNNNNNNNNNNNNNNNNNNNNNNNNNNNNNNNNNNNNNNNNNNNNNNNNNNNNNNNNNNNNNNNNNNNNNNNNNNNNNNNNNNNNNNNNNNNNNNNNNNNNNNNNNNNNNNNNNNNNNNNNNNNNNNNNNNNNNNNNNNNNNNNNNNNNNNNNNNNNNNNNNNNNNNNNNNNNNNNNNNNNNNNNNNNNNNNNNNNNNNNNNNNNNNNNNNNNNNNNNNNNNNNNNNNCAUGUUCAGGUAAACUGACAAGUGAGCUAGUUUGUGGUUUUAGAUCUUUCAUGCUGUCCGAUGCUGCCAUCCACUGUUUCACGGUGGAAUCAAUGUAUUCUAGUGCUUGUUCCAAGACGAAAAAAAUCUCCCACAUAGCCCUGCUUCUUUCCUCCAAAUUCUGUGCUAAAAAAACAUUUCUUGAUUCCGAGUCAACCAUAUCUUCUGUUGUGUAUGCUACCUCUGCGAUUUCAACUUCCAAGAUUGUUAACCCCUCAUGAUCGCCCAUUAUAUUGCAGGAUUUCUCCAGAAUAGCUCUCAAAGAUUUGAGCUUUUCAUAAAACGGUUGCAAAUCACAUCCAGUAAGUUCCAUUGAUUGAUGUAUGGUUCUCAUAAGGGAAGUAACAGCAGCAUAAGCCAUAUAUCCAAAAAAUAGAAAUAUCUCUCAGUAUGAAAAUGGACAAAUUGCCACAAGUUAUGUAAUUUUUCAGUUUUUAAGAAAACAGAAAAUGCAAAGUUCUUUCUUUUACUAGCUAUUUCCAUCACAUUUCCAGCUAGGUCCACCAACCUUAUCAUCAUGUAGACAAAAGCAGAGACCAAAGUUAAAAAAAAGUAGAAAAAUUUGUGAUCAUUCAUUAUUAGACCGUACACAUAUCUAUUCAUGAAUAUAAGUAUGCUUCUUACAUACAAGAGAUUGAUGAUUUUAAUUACAUUGAAAGCAACUUAGUAGAAUUUUCCAAAUCAAAGAGAGAAAUAUUAAGAUCCAAGUAGGAAUUUCUCUAUUCCUAGUUCGAUUCAAUUAACCAAGCAUAAAUAUCUCUUAAUAUACAUGAGAAGUUUAGACUCUAAAAGUCAAAUCAACAAAAUAUUUAUGGGCUAACACAUGAAAAACUAUUGAGAAAAUCGCCUAAUUUCUGUAAAUUGGCCCUUAAAUCUCCAAAAUGAACUCUAAAAAUUGUCAGACUGUACGUAUUGCUCCCCAACUCCCUACUGAGGGUUCUGUAAAGAUUUCGAUUAGAAUUCGUCCGUAAGUCAUAUCACCAAUAUAUUAAUGACUAACACACACGAAAAACUGAGAAAAUUGUCUAAUUUCUUGAAAUUGGCCCCUAAAUGCCUAAAAUGGACUCUAAAAGUUGUGAGACUGUACGUACUGCUCCCCCGACUCCCUACAGAGGGUUUCGUAAAUGUGUAGCAAAGAAAUCGUCUGGAAGUCAUAUCACUAUAAUAUUAAUGGGCUAACACACACAAACCACUGAGAAAGUCGCGUAUUCCUGUAAAUUGGCCCCUAAAUGCCCAAAAUGAACUCUAAAAUUGUGAGACUAUGUACUGCUCCACUAACUCCCUAUGGAGGGUUCCGUAAAGAUUUCACAAAGAAAUUAUUCGGAAGACAUAUCACCAAAAUAUUUAUGGGCUAAUACAUUUUUAUUUGUCCAUUUGAUUUGACAUAUCUUUCAAGUACUUUGAUCUGGUUAUACUUUUUUUUUAUUGCUAAAAAUAAAUAUCCACUUUUACUUGUUCAUUCUACAAAACAAAGACAAUAUUUUAUUGCUUGAUUCAGAUAUAAAAUUUGAGUAGGCUAAUUUACAAACCAUCUGUAGUCAUCCUGCCCCUAUGCUAUAACAUUUGAAAGAAAGAGGUCAUCAUCAUCAUAUUCAUCAUCGUUGUCAUCUUCAUCAUCAUCUUCAUCAUCGUUGUCAUCUUCAUCAUCAUCUUCAUCUUCUUCAUCAUUAUCAUCAUCAUCAUCAUGAUCGUCAUCGUCACUUGUUUCCUCACUGUUGAAAAAGCCAGCAACAAAAGAUGAAAAAUGAAAUGUUAUGCAAGUAUAACAAGUUACACAAUUACUAUAUUGGAAGGAUUUAAAUCAUAUACAAUGACAACGUAUGAACUUUUACACUAUAGGUGCCAUUUAACUGCUUAUUAAAGCAAUUUAUAAUUAUUUUAUUACUAGUUCUGGACACGUGCUUUGCAUGUGUAUAUUACACGUUUAGUCACGAUUGUAAGAGGGUGUACACCAGGAUCAUUCGAAGAGCAAAGUCGUGUGAGCCUUACAGAUAUUCUUGACGUACUCCUAUUAAAAUCUGUAUCAUAUUCGUAACUUUUUGAAUGAGGUUCACCUUUUUCCUCAUUGUACUUUGUACAUGGAUGUUGUCCAUCACAAUAUCCCCUUUUUCAAAUUUCAUAGCUGAACUACUAGGUGUACGAGUUCCUACCAGAACUACUACCAACUAUUUAUCAAAACACACAUCAACUAUAUAUGAGUUGUUCCCUUUUACUAGUGGUGACAAAUAGGUGGAUUUGGACGGGACUGAAAAUGGAUUGAGCAACAUGGUCGUAACUCACUUAAUCUCUUAAAGCCAGAAAACUUUAAAGAGUUAAUUGAAAUAAACUUAAUGACUAUCCUACUUGAAGUAUCACCGUCGUUCAGGUAAGAAAAAGGAAGUAUAUCAAGGAAGAAGAUGUCUUACAAAGCCUGAUGGAUAUGGACCUCGAUAGAACCUCCAUAGUUGUCUUGAAUGUCCUGUUGAAUCUGCUUUGCGGAAUUCCCAACAGAUUCUGGGCAGUUUCUUAUAUAGAUUAGAGCAAGUGUGGUUAUAUCUGCAAAAUCUUGAGGGAUUGAGUCCAAAAACCUGCAACUAUCAAGAAAUAGUCGUUCAAGGCACGGAAAGUGAUCACAACUAGCUCUCCAGUACUGAAUAUGUGAUCUUUUAAGUAACAAGAACUUCAAAAAAGGAAACCCUUCCUCAGCUACUUCCCACUCCCUGCCUCUGCAUACACCCUGUGUUAGUUCAAGAAGUUCAAGUUUGGGCAAUUUUCCGACAACAAUGCUUAAAUCCUUCCAUGACAAGAAGAAAUUUCCUGUAAAAGUUAAAUUCUUAAGGUUUCGUGGAAAAGCAUCUGGAGGAGGUAAGAUCAAAGAUGGAACAACUUCUACAACAAGUGGAUUCCUUGUCUGAAAACACAUUCUCCUCUCCAAAAAGUAAGCAUUAUUUUGAGGAGGAAGACAAAAUGCUAGUUCCUCGAGAUGAUCUAAGUAGCGAAAAUCAUAGAGGUCUUUGUGACUAUGGAAGUCUUGUGGGAUGCCACGUACUUGCAACUCCUUUAAAUUGGGAAAUAGUCUAAAGAAAGAUGCAGUACAAUAGCUAGGAUUCCAUCCAAACAGAGAAUGUAAAUUUUUCAUAACCAAACUUUUCUCUGUAAGCUCAUGAUAUCGCAAGUAAUUCCGAUCCAAAUGAAGGUGCCUCAACUGUGGCAUUGUCAAAAUAUCUGAUGGUAAUAUCAAAGCAUGUUUACGAAGAUUAAUGACGAGUGGAAGGUAAAGUACCAAACUUUGCAGAUAGCAUAGGUUUGAUAUGGAUGUAGGAAUGUCUACUCUUGAUGAGAGAACAUCUUCUUCGGAUCCUAGAUAUUGCUCAACGUUAGGAUAAAUACGCAAAGCUAGGUGUCUUAAGUGAAUCAAAUAAAGUAUUUCACGGGGAAAAGUUAGACAGAUAUUAUCAGCAAGAUCUAGAACUCUUACUAGCUUGAACGGCAAGUACUCCCUCAUGCAACAUCGGAAUCUACCAAAUAAGAUAACAGAAUGAGCUUCACUGUUAAGGCACCUAACAUACUCUUUCUUAUUAUGGAUGCUGAUUCGACUUCGACUCUUAGACAAACACUGCAUGGAUUUCACAUAUGAAUUUUGAUCAUUCUUUCUUCUGAGAACAUUCACAAAAUUCAUGUUACGAGCUUCCAUCAAACAGAGUUCACGAGUCAUAUCAUGAAUUCCACAACACUUAAUUUUUCCAUCAAAAGUAGUACUUUUAAUGGAAAUUAAACUUCUAUCAAUAAGAUCUUGUAGGUACUUUUCUGCCACUUCUUCUAUGCUUUUCAUCUCUUCUACCUUCAAAAAUCCCUCUGUUUCCCACAAUAUCAUAAGUUUAUUGACAAAAAUCAGUUUAUCCUCUGGGAAGAUUGCGAAAUAUAAAAAGCAUGGUUUUAGGUGGUGAGGCAAGUAAUGGUAACUCAUUGCCAACACCCUCAUGCAUUGGACACCAACAUCUGUGCUUACUGCUGAACUUACAUUUUCAGCAACACUUUGCCACUCACUCAAUGCUUUGUCAAUUUUAGUGAGAAGUCCCGCGAUCACAACAAUUGCUAGAGGCAAUCCUCCGCAUUUCAAUGCAAUUUGCUUUCCAAGUUGUUCAUAUUCAGGGGAGAAAGAGUCUUUCGUAAAGACUUUUUCAUAUAAUAAAUUCCAACUUUCGUCAAAAUUCAUGAGGCGCAUGUGAUGAGGAAGCUUACCUGAGCUAGCAUAUUCAGCCACUUCCACAUUCCGAGUAGUCAAGAGUAUUCGGCUUCCAUUAUGAAAGUCUGGGAAACAUAUUUGUAUAUCAUCCCAAGCUUUUGUAGUCCAUAUGUCAUCAAUGACUACCAAAUAUCUCUUGCCUUUUAGAAGCUUUUGCAGUCGAUCUGCUAGUUGCCCGUCAUGUAGCUGAUCAUAAGGUUUAUCACUUAUACAAGAAAGAAGGUCUAGGAAAACAUUUCUCACACAAUACUCUUGUGAAACAGUAGCUUUUGCACGUAUGUCAAAGCGAUACAUCAUGCAUGGAUCGUUGUAGAGUUUUGUUGCCAAAGUUGUCUUGCCAAUGCCUCCCAUACCUACAAUUGAUACAACUUCUAGUUCUCUUUCUCCUCUAGCAAGUUGAUCCAGCAUCAUCUUGAAUUCAUUUUCAUAGCCAACCAUUAUAACCUCGGACCGCUCAACAGCAAGUUCAGGUAUCUUGGAUAGACAGAAAUUUUGUGCUUUGAAAUCUUUAAUGUUGUUGUACCAGUCCCAUAUUGCCAACCACUGCAUCAUGAAGGAAUCAAUACAUUCUACCUCUUGUUCCAAGGAACAACAGAGUUCCCAGAAAGCUUUGCUUCGUGUAAUUACAGUUUCUGCAGAAGAAACUUUUCUUGAUUUCGAAUCAACCAUGUCUUCUGCUUUGAAUGCUACCUCCGUGAUUUCAACUUCCAAGGUUGUUAACCCCUCAUGAUCGCCCGUUAUAUUGCAGGAUUUCUCUAGAAUAGCUCUCAAAGAUUCGAGCUUUUCAUAAAACGGUUGCAAAUCACAUCCAUUAAGUUCCAUUGAUUGGUGUAUGGUUCUCAUAAGGGAAGUAACAGCAGCAUAAGCCAUAUAUCCAAAAAAUAGGAAUCUCUCACUCUCAGUAUGAAAAUGGACAAAUUAAUUGCCACAAGUUAUGUAAUCUUUCUUUUACUAACUAUUUCCAUCACAUUUCUAGCUAGGUCCACUAACAGGAUAAAGUAGAAAGAUGUGAGGUCACUAACCUUAUCAUCAUGAAGACAAAAGAAGAGACCAAAGUUAAAAAAAAAAAAAGACGAAAAAGUAGAAAAAAUUGUGAUCAUUCAUUAUUAGACCCUACACUAAUCUCUUCAGAAAAAUAAAAUAAAAUUUUAGUUUAAAUAAAGGAAUUCAAGCUGUAUAUUGAUAACGUCCAAUUCAAAUUCAAGUGUAGUACGGUCUAGCAAUAAUAAACUCAACAAAAGUUGGAGUCGAGGAGUACGCUUGUGUCAAGGUGACAGAGAGUGUGCGAAUUUGCUAACAAACAAAAGGUCUUUCUUUUAGCUAGGUCCAUAAUCCAUGUAGUGCUCUAUACUCUCUAGUCUCUAUCAACCAGCUCAAGUUUAAGGGUGUGUUUGGUAUGGAGGAAACAUUUUCUCUAGAAUAGGGAGAGAUUUGUGCAUAAACAAGGAAGAAUCUCUCAGUAUAACAGUGAAUGGGUAUUUUUUUAAGAUUUGCUUCUUUUGUGUAUGACUUUUGUAAGAAACAUUCUGGUAAAAGUUAAAAAAAAUGAUCUUGUGGAAUAGCCACAGUGAAUUCCUUAAUAUUCGAGUAGAAAAAGCCAGAGAGGAUAACAUUGCUAUUUGUACACUUAUCGUGACACGAGUAGUCUCUUAAAUAUUACACCUUUCUACUGAUGUUGCUGAUGCCACUGGAUUUAGCCUUCCGUCUUCCUUUGCAAGGUAGAUCGAGGACUCCCAAGAAAGGAAACACAAGUUACUGGAGUCUGUUCUGGCCUAUACAGUAUGUAUGUACAUAAAAUUUGGAGUAUCUAAAAACCACUGACAAAUGGCUAUACGAAAGAUCAUAUACAAUUAAAUUACAAGCCAUUUGCAAUCAUCCUGCCCCUUUAUGCAGAAUCUUUUCAAAGAAAAUGAAAACGAACAAAACAAACACUCACACAUUUGGCUUCUGAUUUGACAUUUAUUUCAGAGAACUGGCUAGUCGCUGCAGGAAAAAAAAAGACGCAAAAAAUGGAAAAUAAUAUGUUAGAUGUCCCAUAAUUAAGGAACAAGAGAACAUUAUAGCAAGAAUGAGCAUGCAGGUAUAAGAACUUACACAUUAUUGCGGCAAGAAGCAACUUCUUUCUCAAAGUCAUCAUCAUCAUCUUCAUCUGUUGUUACACUAUCGAAAAUGCUAGCUACAAAAGAUGAAAAAUGAAAUGUUACACUUCCCAAAAUCAAGAAUGAGCAUGCAAGUAUAACAAGUUACACAAUAUUGGAAGGAUUCGAAUCAAUCACAAUGACAGCAUCAAGAACUUUUGUUGAAUUGGUGUAAUUUGACUUACUAAAGCUAUUAUCCAGAUUAUUAUCGAGUUUACUAUAAUGAUGAGUUAAAUAUUGUUGUAAAUCAAGGAAGAAGAUGUCUUACUAAAGAUUACGAGUAUGGACCUCGAUAGAGCUUCCAUAGUUGUCUUGAAUGUCCUGUUGAAUUUGCUUGGCGGAAUUCCCAACAGAUUGUUGACAGUAAUGUAUAUCAAUAAGAGCUAGUGUGGUUAUAUCUGCAAAAUCUCGAGGGAUUGAAUCCAAAUACUCGCAAUUUCUAAGAAAAAGUCGUUCAAGGUACGGAAAGUGAUCACUACUAGCUCUCCAGUACCGAAUGUAUAUUUGAUCCAGAAACAAGAACUUCAAGUGAGGAAACCCUUCCUCAACUACUUCCCACUCCUCGCCUAUGACGGCAUUGUGUGAUAGUUUAAGGACCUCGAGUUUGGGUAAUUUACCAACAAUGCUCAAAUCCUUCCAUGCCAAAAGGAAAUCUCCUCUAAAAGUUAAACUCUGGAAAAGAUUAAUUAACAAAAAUUUAUGGUACUAAUUGGGGUAUUAAUUAACAUAUCCUUACUUGAUCACAUAUGUAUUGUUCUGUGUGAAAUUUUCCUCUGACUGAUAGUUGACUAAAUUAUAUUGCAUACGUUCGUGUACAUUUUCUCACUUGGAAGAGUGGAUUUGGACGUAAUUAACUAUCACCAUCGUUUAGGUAGAAAAAAGAAAAUAACUAAUAGUUGAAUGUUUUAAUACAUAGAUGAUCAACUAAUAUGAGAAGAAAAGAGUAGCGUAAAUGUGAGAUUCACUUCUCACCAAGAAUCCUCCUUUCUUAUUAUUUUCCUUUUAGAGGUUAAUAAUUAUUAAGUAUCCCUAGAAUAAUUUAUUGAAAAAGUAGAUUUGAAAGAAAGCAAUUACUCUCUUCUUCCUAUGCGGGACUUCUUGAACAUAACUAAUUUGACAAAAACCACAAUUUUAUUUAUUUUUAGGUGGAAUUAUAUCAAUAAGGAACUAUAUAUGCUUAUGAUAUUAAUCUAAGACCAUUAUUUGUUACUUGAACACAUGGAUUCAUCAUCUGAACAAUUGAAACAAUUAAUACUUGUGUGAACCUUUUUUUAUUUCGAGUGAUGUGUCAUAAUCAUUAGCCAACUAAGACUAGCGUUAAAUUUUUGGUAAGUCUCAAGAAGUGUAAUUAAUACUUAAUAAAAUAAUCUCAUCCUUGAGAUUCAAGAACUUGUUUGGAUUGAAUAGGUUUUUAUCAUCAAGAUCUAGAACAAAGUCUUAAUAUUAGUAAGAGGUAUUUUUGUGUGAAAAGUUUUCUUUGAGGUUCGAGAAAUGGAAUAGAUAUGGACUACAAGUUGAUAUUUCCCAUUGGAAAAUUCACACAAAAAGGAACAAGGAAUUCUCAAUGAAAAAAGCGCUCUCCAAAUCUGUUUAGUAUUUGUCAUGAGGUUCUUAUCAUAAUUGGAUUUUCCUUUUAGGAAAAGGUAAACACAGUCUCCAUAUUUGUCUAGUUCUUUUUCUUGUAGGAAAAAAAUUAUGACUCUAUAAAUAGAUGUUUUGUAACAUCCGACAAUUUGAAAUAGCUAAGAAGAGGCUUGAAAUUUGGAAAUUUUCAAUUUUUGGAAAGGAUUUGAAAAUCUGGAAAAUUUGGCUAAGUAUGGGAAAGGUGAGUUUUUUUGGGCCCAAACUUUGAACAACCAUAAAUUCUAGCUCAGGAUGAGUUAGGUGGAGUUCCGGUUAUGUUUGCAUAGCCCUCGGAACGACCUUUCCAACGCCACUGAGUUUGCUCAAUUCUGAGUUCGUAUGAGCGAGUUAUGGCCAUUGAAAGUUGGGCAGUUGGCAGGGAAUCCGUCCGGAAAAUUAAGGGCAUUUUAGUCUUUUCCCUAGCCAAUUCUUUUGGGAUUAUAUUGUUGUAUAGGGCUGAUCUUUAGAUCAUUUUGUCCCAUUUUAAGAAAUUAAAAUCUAGGGCUUGAGAGUGAAGAAGAGAAGAAGGAGAAGAAGAAGAGAAAAAUCGAGGAGAUCAACAAGUUUCCGACAAGAUCAUCGUGAAUGUUCGUCGGGGGUGAUCCCUAUCAAGGUAUGUGAGCUUUUAGUGUUGGGUGAUACUUUCCCCCACACACCUAGCCCCUUUUAUUUAUUAAGGAAGGAUUGGUUAUGUUGUUAAAGUUGUUAGUUGUUGUGGUUGAAGUUGUUGGAGUUGUUAAAGUUGUUAGUUGUUGUUGUUGGAAUUAUUGUUGGUGGUGGGACAUAAUUGAGUUGUGUUUUUAUGUUGAAAUCUAUUGAAUGUUGAGGGAUUUUAUGUUUCUAAGUGAUUGGGGGCUGGAAUCUUUGAGGUUAGAGGGUUUAGAGUUGGUAACGUGAAGGAGAAAGUCGGGUAGCUUGCGAGGAGCAUGUCUGCGUCGCGGACUUGUUCCUCUGUGAACAAAAAAUCUUCUCCGCGUCGCGGACAGGACGCAGACUCCACUGUUUUCAGAAUUUAUGUUCGAAGAUUUUCUUAGGUUUGGCUGUCCCAAAUCAUUCGCAAAUCAUUCCUAAACAUCAUGAGACCCUUCCAAACACCAAUCAAGUCCUUGAAUCCAUAAUCCAAUUCAAGGUGAGUUAUGAUCAAGUCAAGUGAAGUUAGUUUUCAAGUCAAGUGAAGUUAGAAGUCAAGUGAAGUUAGAGCCAAGCUUAGAAGUUAAGCAAGUCAAAGCAAGUCUUUAAAGCUUUUCAAGAGUCUUCAUUGAACGUUUUGACUUCAUUCUAAGGCUCAAGUUCCAAGUUAAGUAUAGAGUUUCAAGUCAAGCAAAGAGUCUCAAGUUUCAAGUUAAGUAAAGAGUAUCGAGUUUCAAUUUAAGUCAUAAUUUUUCAGUCAAGAGUCAAGAGUUGAGUUCAAUUCUCAAAAGUAAUUAGGGAACUAAGUAUUUCCCAAAGAAGUUUUAUAAGUGUUUUCACAUUUAAGUUGAGAGGAAACGGAGAUUUCCAAAAGAGUUUUGAGAAGUUUGAGCACUAUCUCUUUUAAAAGAAAAGAUGAGUUUUUGAAAAAGAGUUUCUAAAUUAUGAUUAGUAUGACAAAUGGAGUAUGUCAUCAAUGUUUAAACAGUAUGGUCUCUAGAUAUACCAUCAAUGUUUAAGCAGUAUGAAUAUCCCGAGUCAUCAAUGAUCAUAAAAAAAAAAAAUGUGGUUUUGACUUGUUCUAUUUAGAAAGAGUUUUCAAGUGCCUUCGGGCUAAGUUUUGAGUAAUUAUCUCAACUAAAGAAAGAUGUGCUUAAAACACUUAUGAGCUAAAGUAUUUUGGGAGUAGUAUCGAGCACCGAAUUGGGGAAACGAGUUCAUAUUAAACUCAACUCUCCAUAAGAACCAUGUAGCCAAACAUGGGAUUUCUCGGAUCAUACUUUUUAGAUGAUCACGAAAGUUAAGCUAGUGGAUCCAUUAAGCAAAAGUUAAAGUAAGGUCCUAUAUCGAUGGCAAGGUAUAGGAUGGUCCUUGGGCAACGUGAGGUAAAACGUUGUAUCACCACUCAGAUUCAUAGUGGUGGUUUGUCGGUUAGAGAAGCUCCCACAGUAGAAAGAGCAUGGUUCCUCGAGGGUUCUGCUUAGUAUGGAUGGGGGUAUGGGACUUCAUUCAUGCAUUGCACAAGUAGACUUUGAGAGGAAGCAUGGUAUUUUUAUGAUAUUAUAAAUAUGAUUUUUACGUCAUGUUUUAAUAGUUUCAAAAGCUUUAUAUAUAUUGCAUGUGUCUCAUUGCUUUAUAUUAAGUUCAGUUAUUCUUGAGUUGUACAGAGCCAAGGUAAGUUCUCUUUUGUAUCCCUUUUCAAGCUUAAGUUGUUGUUUAGCGGUCCAGCUCGCAUACUCGUACAUUCCAUGUACUGAUGCCAGUUGGCCUGCAUCUUAUGACGAUGCAGACACNNNNNNNNNNNNNNNNNNNNNNNNNNNNNNNNNNNNNNNNNNNNNNNNNNNNNNNNNNNNNNNNNNNNNNNNNNNNNNNNNNNNNNNNNNNNNNNNNNNNNNNNNNCAGUCAGUUAGUUUUGAGUCUCUCAUCUAUGUAUAUAUGUAAAUAUUCUAUUUUGAGACUCGAGUGGCCUUUUUGGCCAGAUGUGUAUCAUUUAAGUUGUUUAUGUCUUUGCAUGGCAUUGAGUUAUUCUGUUGAGUAGGUUUCCGCUGAGUUAAGAAAGCCAGGCCAAGGGUUCGCUUGGGGCCAGCAAUGGUCUCUGAGUGCCGGUCCCGCCCAGGGUGUAGGCUCGGGGCGUGACAUGUUUAUUCAUUCUAGCUUGGUAGCAUUCAUAAUGCAAUCCUAGGGGGCUUUGAGAGUUUUGUGUAUUGUGUGAAGCUAGAGGAAGAAUGUAUGAGACACAAGUAUUACUUUAACACUUGUGUGAACCUCUUUGUAUUCAGAGUGAAUUGUGUGAGGUUAUUCUUCUCUAGAUUUUAUAGUGAUUUUUUCAUCUCCUCUUGUGGAUGUAGAUCGGUUGACCGAACCACGAUAAAUGUUUGUGUCUUUUGAUAUAUUUCUUGUUUGUCUUAUUACUCAUCGUCUUUCAAGGUUUGCUUUGCUAGCUUUUGCAUGACACCUAAUUAUUUCAGUCCCAACAAGUGACAUCAGAGUCAGGUUCAAUGGUUUAAUGAUUCAAUGGUCGAACCAUGUUAAAAAUAAGUGUUCAUCUUGACGGGUUUAGUUCUAGCCGUAACAUAUUUGACAGUAAUGAAGAUUUUUGUUGGAGAAAUAUUUUCAAAGAUGUUUUCUGUGUUGAUAUAUAUAUAUAUAUAUAUAUAUAUAGAUUUUGCAGAGGAGAUGCAAGGUAUUGAAGAUUAUGUGAAGAAGGUGGAUCAAAUUUAUUUUGUCAGAAAUUUAGGCCAAUGGAGAUAUUUGUUUAGUAUUUGUCAUGAAUUUCUUAUCAUAAUUGGGUUUUUUCUUUUAGAAAAAGGAAACCACAAAGUUUCCAUAUUUGGCUAGUUCUUUUUCUUGUAGGAAAAUGUUUGACUCUAAAAUUAUAUGUGUAUUCCUUCUAGCCUAAUAGCAUUUACAAUGUAGUCCUAAGGGGCAUAGAGAGUUUUGUGUAUUGCGUGUAGCUAGGGGGAGAAUGUGUGAGACACAAGUGUUACUUUAACACUUGUGUAAACCUCUUUGUUUUUCCAUUGAAUUGUGUAAGGUUAUUCCUCUCAAUAUUUUGUACUUUCUUUUAUAUAGUGAAUUGCUCAUAUCCUCUUUUGGAUGUAGGUCGGUUGUCCGAACUACGUUGAAUAUUUAUGUCUUUUGGUAUAUUUUUCGUUUGUAUUAUUACUCAUGGUCUUUCAAAAUUUGCUUUGCUAGCUUUUGCCUGAUACCUAAUAAUUUCAGUCCCAACAAAACCAAACGUGAAAGUUGUUUUCCAGCAGACAACUUUUCUAGUAGCUCUACUCUCGACUUGGAUAAUUUAACCAAAAAGGUACGCUUUCGGCCAUUCUACAUGCUGCCUAUGUAGAGACAUGUUUAUCUAAAGUGGAUUCUCUUUUUUGUAGUAGGUAUCAAACCUGUUAUGCCCAUUGACUAAGAAGCUAGGGGUGGACACAACAACUACAUGGACCUCUUUCUUACAUCGGCCAUCACUAUUAAUCGUCUUUGUUAUCACAAUGACCACCACUAUUACCGUCAUCAAACAUCUCUGUCCUCACAAUUACCAUUAUUAUCAACCACUACUAUAUAUCAAACAUUUGCUAUAUUUAUGUUUUUUAUUGACAUAAACAAUGGGUUAACAUGAUAUAAUUUAUUAGUAGUUUUAUAUAUUUUUCUUAUAAUAAAGGAAACAAUCACUUAUACAUUCUUUGAGAUCAUUUAGUUUAAAAUCAGGAGUGGAAUCAUAACUAGGGUUAUAGCUUAGCAUCAAUUCACCUUCUUAAUUAAUGGGAUAAUUUAAUUAGCUAAAUUUGAAUGAAAAGAAGAAGAAAUUGAUUAAUUUAAUUCGUUUACGUUCCAAUGGGGUGUGCAAUAUCCAUAAAUUUGUCAUGUCGUUAUUAGGUGUUCAUGAGAUGCACAUAUUCCAAGCAAAAGUACCUAUUUGAUCACUAGAUGAGUUUAAGUAUUCAAUUUACAAAUUCUGCCAAAUUUGAGGGACUAUCUAGGUAUUAUUUAGAUAAAAUUAUUUGUAUAGUCCACUCUAAACAUACUUAUAAUUAAGCAAGUAACAUAUACUAUAUAAAGAAGCUUCUAGAGAUAAUUAAAGUUAACUCUAUAUAAUUAGAGUUGCAAUAACAAAUACGUCAAAACAUUAAAGUGUUUCACCAAUAAAGUCAUUUUUUUAAUGUCCAAAACUAAUCCAAUGGAAGCUCUAUUAUGUGGAACACCAGAAGAAGUUUCAGUAUUGUUGGUACAUCAUGAAGUAGAAUUUCUUACUAAUCAGACUGUUAAAUUGUUAGAGGCUUAUAAAUACAAAGGUGACAUUCUAGAAUUUUUUUAACUUUUUUGUUUCUUUGAUAUAAUAACUAAAUGCCGUGUGACAUUUUUUUUUAUAUAUAGAGAGAGAUUGAAAUGAUAUGCUUUUUGUUAUCUCAUUUAUGAUUUUAGCAUCGUCCAUUUUUAAAUUUCAUUUAUCUUGUAAAUCUUGAACUUUUCUUUUUCCUUGUUAUCAUAGCACUUUUUAAUUUUUACAAAUUUAUCUAUCCUCGAAGAAAAAUAAUUCUACAUUAGUGAUGGAUGCACAAGAAAUUAGGAUGACGGGAGGGAAGAGAAAGAGCACGAAAAAGACAUGAUAAGAGAUGAUCUGUCUAUCAUUAUUACUUGAGAUAAUAUUUUUUUGUCUUUUAUUGGAUGUAUAAAAAAAAAUGAGGAGAUCUAAUUUUCAUUAAAAAAACAUUUCCCUUUCUAUUUUUUGUUUUUGUUUUUCGUUGGACGUAGACAAAAAAUUGGCAACUCCUUUCUUAUACUUUGUUAGAUCAUCUAAUUACAUAUCUAUGAAAUAAAAUUACCUCAAAACAUUUUAUCCUAUUAUCUUUUGCUUUAAUAUUUAUUUGUUUUUGACAAGCCAUAAAUAAAUUGGAAUAGUUUUUAGAAAUAUAUUCUUUAGGAUCUUCUCUAGUUUUUAGUAAUCCAAUUAACGAAAAAAAAAAACUAAUAUAUACUUUUUAUGUAACCAAUCUAGUUAAGAUUGCACUCAUCAUUUAUAAUAUAAGUUGAUUAAUAUGUGUUAUUUUAAAAAUUAAAGUGCAGAAAUAUAACAUGAAAAUUCACAGUUGAAUUUGAAUAACAAACAAACAUAUCCAAAUGAUACCUUUGUGUACAAUAUUUUUUUUUUCAUAAUUUUCACUGAUUUCAAAUUGCACGGGUAUAUGUAGUUACGGAAGUUAUGGCUCCUGCGGCAAUGUCAAUGCUUUUCAAAGAAAAGAAAAAAAUUGAUGCAAUGAUAAUCAAGGUCAUUUCACCGGAUUCACAUUGCUUUGAGCUCCUGGCACAAGCUGUAACCUUGAACAUCAUCGUAGUAAGUAAGUAUUUAUAAUUCUAUCUUCCACUUAUUAUUAUAGACGGUAAAGUAAGUUUUUUUAAUUAACUAUUGCAUAAUGUAUAUAAUAUUAUUCAAUUUUAAUUGCUAUCUUCUUGAUAUAAUUAUGCAGUUGUCUAUGAUGAACUCAAUGAAUUCUUAGUGAAGAAAGCUUUGGACAAUGGAGCUUACAUUUGCUCGAAGAAGCCUCUUGUCGAGCAAACUAUGACAUUCUUGUGGCAAUUUGUAUGGAGGGAGAAAACACAAAGAGGGAAAUCAAUAAAAAGAGUAGAAACAAAGGGAGAUCAUAUUUUUGUUUGAAGUUAUUGGAGUUCUGAGAAAACAAUAGGUCGUGGUUUUUUCCUCCCUUGAGCAAAGAGGUUUCCACGUUAACAUAUGUGUUCUUACUUUAAGCAUUUAGAUUACUUCUUGUUAUCAGUAUAGUCAAGUGGUCAGAACACGAGAAGACAUGUCACUAAACAACAACAUAUAUAGGAAAAAACAAACUCUGCUAAGUGAUCGAUCCGUGUGUGAUAGUUGCCUUCUUAACCUUGAACUAUUGCUUCCUGCUAGAUUAUAUGAACUUAGAUAUGUAUACAAAUUAGUAUUCAAUGAGUUCCCAAACAUUCGUGCAUAAACAAUUUCCCCUGUUGUCGUGCCACCAGGACUUAGCAUAUGUUCUGUAUUUGUAUAAUUUCGAUGAUGAUCAUGAGAUUGCUGGGAUAAUGGAGGCAUAUUAUUAUUGUGUAUUAGACCGUGACUCCUACAUCUCGAACUAGGAGGUCUUUGUGGUAUGACUAUACCAAAAUUCUAUACCAAAAUUCGGGGCCUUAAUUUCAGAUGUUUUUGUAGCUUGACAGCGACCAUAGAGUGGAAUCAAUGUUUUUUGUGAGACUUCAGCUUUGCAAACAGGGCAAUUUGGUUGUUGGUUAUCGAUGUUCUCUGAUGAAAUGGUCUUAAAAUGUAUCCAUUUGUAGAUGCAAGGCCAACAAUAGGAGGUGACCACAUAAUGUAACAACAGGAUCAUGUACAACAUCUAGGCAAAUGUUGCACUCGAAACCUCCAGGUGAAUUUUCUUCAAGUUUAUCAAGAUCAAUUGUCUCCAUUUUUCAAAGGAAAUAUCGCGUUGAUCAAAGGUAGUUUCUGCUAUUUGGUCUUGAAAAAUUUGUUCUAAGGCCAUAUUUGCCUCUUGGUAUUGAAUUAUUUUGGUAAUGGCAAGAUGAAGAAUGGUUAGAAUUCAGGUUUUUAAUACAAUUAGAAGUGAGUAUUUAUAAGGACAAAGAAUAGUAGUUUGCAAACAAUGAUUCUUAAGGUUGUCACUUGUCAACAUCACAUUAUGUUAAAGGGGCAUGGCCAAAAAGAAAAGGCCCUACACAUUAUUAAACAACACUAUAUCAUAUUACUCAACAGUCUUGAUUUAUGGGGUAUUGUUUGAUUUGAUAUAACAUUUAAUAAGAAAAUGAAGACUUUUAAAAUAUGUACUGUAUUAAAGAUAAAAAAUAAAUUUUAAGUUUUUCGAUCCUAGAAAUGAUAUUCUUUUUAUAUUAAGACUAAAACAAAUGUUUUACAUAAAUUAAGAUAGAUGAACUAUCAAACACAUCAUAAUUAAGUGAUUUAAUGAAGUCAAAAAUAAAUAUUAAUGGAUCAUGGUUAAGUGAGAGGAGUUUUGUGCAAACACGUCUUUUAUCUAUCUAUUUGAUUUAAACAAGCAUAAGUUUUAUCAUAUUAGAAAUAUGAUUAGGACCUUAUAUUAGGCCCCAUGAUAGGAAUCUUAAUCUAGAAAAUAACUUUUAGUCAAUAAAAAGUAGCACUAGUUGCGUACAAGGAGCUACCACUUGAUGACCUUCCACACUUCCACAUCCCAUAAGUUCAAUAGUUUUCACACUAUAAGAACUAGAUGUUUUUUUCCGCGUGAAUCAAUAAAAUUUUUAGUUUUAUGUUAUAAAACAUGAUUUUUUUCAUUUUGAUUUUAUUAAACUAAUUCACUAAGAAAAUUCAUAACGAAACAUAAGUUCUCAUUGAAAUACUGGAAAUAGUCACUUGGAAAUUUAUGAGUUUUAGGAAAUUAUGCAUCAAAACUUAGAAAGACGCGGCUCAUAUAGAAAUUUGUUGUUAAAUCAUAAUAUAUACUUUUACAUCUGAAUAUCUUUAUUGAUUUGGUUAAAAUUAUAAUUAAAAAAAUUACAAUACAAUAUAUAUAGAUUCACAUAAAUUUAAUACUGUAAGUUCAAUUAUUAUUCAAUUAUUAUUAUGAUAUAUUAAUCUAAAAUUAUUAUAGAAGCUUCUAAACUCUAAAUUCAGAUCCAACUAAGGAGUGAAUAUACAUAGUGGGGGUCUGGGGGAUGGGAGAAAACAUAUGGACGGUGUGACAAAUAAAUAAAAGAAAUACUCCGUCCAUUCCAUUUGACUUAGUAUUGUUUGACUUAAUACGAUGUAUAAGAGAAAAAAAAGAUUUUAGAAAAUUAUAGGCUAAAACAAUUUUUAUAUAUUUAUAUAAUUGUAAAUCAUUUCAUUAAUUAAGGGUAGAUGGAGAAUUUUAAGUUUAAUUAUUUUCAAUUACAAUAAAAUGACAUUUUUAAAGACGGAUUAUGAGAAUAGAGUGCCACGUAAAAUAAAACGAGAAAAUACUACUCCCUCCUUCCCAUUUUAUAUGUUACCUUUUUACUUUACAUUUACAUUAAGAAAUAAUGUAACUUUACCCUUCUACCCUUAUUUAAUGUUUUCUUAAGUUAACUUUAUAACUCCCUCCGUCCCAUUUUAUAUGUCAUCUCUUUCUAUAAAUAGUUGGACCACAAUACUUGUCAUUUUAUAAAAUUUAUGUAUAAAUUACCAUAUUUUACCUAUUAUAUCCUUGAUAGAGUAGUUAAUUAAUCUUGAAAAUAUAUUCAUCAUUUAUUAUAAAUUGACUUAAGAAAAUAUUAAAUAAGAAUAGAAAGAUAAAAUUACAUCAUUUCUUAAUAAAAGUAUAAAGUAAAAAUGUGACGUAUAAAAUAGAACGGAGGGAGUACUACAAAAGAACGAGUCCGCACAUGCAUUAUACAAGUACUACAUGUGUCUCGAAUUUAGCAGCCUUUUGUCAACUUUUUAUAUUUUGGCUUACUUGGAAGCAAGUCUAUCCUCUCCUAUACAAUCAAUUAGGGUGGCCAUUAAUCAUAUAUUAUUAGGCUAAAGAUAACAUAUUGCUCCCUCCGUUUUUAAUUAUUUAUCCAUUUUUUUAGUUAUUCCUAAUUACUUGUCUAUUUUUACAAAUCAAGAAAGAACAAUUUUUUUUACCUAUUAUACCGUCAAUUUAUUACUUUGAAAAAAGUAGAACUUUUUGAAAAUCUUGAGUUUUUAAUUCAUCCACUUCAUAAUUAAUAUGGAUAAAAUGGUAAACUCACUAUUUCAAUAAUUGUUUUCUUAAUAGGUGUGCCAAUUCAAAAAUGGACAAGUAAUUAGGGAUAGAGAAAGUAUAUCGAAAUAAUAUAAUAAGAUAUUAUGCUAAAGAUAAUUAACAAAACUUUGAACAAUUAUAAAUAAGAUAGCAAAAAAAUCCAUAGUAAAUUAACAUGGUUCAACGAUUAGUGAUGGAAUCUGAAUAUGAUUCAGGAUUUUCACUAUUAAUGAAAUUCAAAAGGAAUAAUACAUAAAUGUGCCCUUUAACUUGACUUCAUUUUAUGUUUAUGUCCUUCAACUUUGGGUAUACACAAAUAUGCACCUAAACUUGUAUAAAGUUGAACAACUAGACACAUGAGUCCUACAUGACACAAUACACAUAAGAUACCACGUAGGAUAAAAAAUGCCAUGUAGGACAUGUGUGUCUAUUUUUUCAACUUUAUACAAAUUUAAAUAUCUACUUGUGCACACCCAAAGUUGAAGGGCAUAAAUGUGAUUUGAAGCCAAGUUAAAGGGUAUAUUUAUGUAUUAUGCCUAUUCAAAAUAUGAAUAAAUAAACAUAUAAAUUAGCUGACUACAAUAAUAGACAGAUAAAAAAUAAUUUUAACUAUAUGUAUAAAUAAUAUAAUUUUUCAUCGAAAGAGGUUCAUCUGAUUCCUCACUACUUUCUCUCAUUCAAAACUAAGCAAUAUGAGACUUUCAUGUCACAUGGAACCCUUUUUUUUUUUUUUGGAAAUCUCAGUAGUUCAGUUAAUUGACUGACUAUCUGAAUUCUCGAUUUCCCAUGUUGUAAUCCUCUACCCCAAUUUUUUUAUUACCUUCCUCACAUAUGUAUAAGACCGAAUCCAAAUAUCUAAGAUGAGAGAAUUUUGGGAGAGCCACCGACUCCAACUACUGCCAUAUAUUAUCCAUAUUAGAUUUGACCAACUAUCCAUCCUACCCUCCUCUACGUUCUUGACAACCCAUUUUUGUCUUAGUCAAGUCUUUUAGUGGCACGUUUUGAUCCUCUUUUCAAUUACUUAGAAAAAGUGAGUUAUUAUUCAGAUACAAAAUACUAUCAUUAUCGCCUAAAAAAUUAGACAUUCAACCCGUAAUCACAAUGAUCCAAUUACAAAAGCUCCGAACCCCCUAGGUCUAGACUGGCUCUGGCCCUAGUUUUAUCUCUUGACCUUCACAUGAGUAAACUCGUUGAUAUAGAGGAUUACAGUAUUGAUUUCUUUAAAAGAAAAAAACCUUAAUUUAAGGUAUGGAGGCCUAGAAAGGAAACACACGUUAUAUAUGGAGCCUGUUCUGGCCUAUACAGUAUAUAUGUACAUAAAAUUUGGAGUAUCUAAAGAACCACUGACAAAUGGCUACGAAAGAUCAUAUACAAUUAAAUUACAAGCCAUUUGCAAUCAUCCUGCCACCUUAAGCAGAAAAAAUGAAAACGAAUAAAACAAACACUCACACAUUUGGCUUCUGAUUUGACAUUUAUUUCAGAGAACUGGCUAGUCCUCAGAACACCUUAACUACUCGCUGCAGAAAAAGAAAAAAAAGACGCAAAAAAUGGAAAAUAAUAUGUUAGAUGUCCCAUAAUUAAGGAACAAGAGAACAUUAUAGCAAGAAUGAGCAUGCAGGUACGUAUAAGAACUUACACAUUAUUGCGGCAAGAAGCAACUUCUUUCUCAAAGUCAUCAUCAUCAUCAUCAUCUUCAUCUGUUGUCACACUAUCGAAAAUGCUUGCAACAAAAGAUGAAAAAUGAAAUGUUACACUUCCCAAAAUCAAGAAUGAACAUGCAAGUAUAACAAGUUACAAAAUAUUGGAAGGAUUCGAAUCAAUCACAAUGACAGCAUCAAGAACUUUUGUUGAAUUGAUGCAAUUUGACUUACUAAAGCUAUUAUCCAGAUUAUUAUCGAGUUUACUAUGAUGAUGAGUUAAAUAUUGUUGUAAAUCAAGGAAGAAGAUGUCUUACAAAAGAUUCACGAGUAUGGACCUCGAUAGAGCUUCCAUAGUUGUCUUGAAUGUCCUGUUGAAUUUGCUUGGCGGAAUUCCCAACAGAUUGUUUACAGUCACUUAUAUCAAUAAGAGCUAGUGUGGUUAUAUCUGCAAAAUCUCGAGGGAUUGAAUCCAAAGAAUAGCAAUCUUUAAGAAAAAGUCGUUCAAGGUACGGAAAGUGAUCACUACUAGCUCUCCAGUACCGAAUGUAUACUCUAUCCAGAAACAAGAACUUUAAGUGAGGAAACCCUUCCUCAACUACUUCCCACUCCUCGCCUAUGAAGGCAUUGUCUGAUAGUUUAAGGACCUCGAGUUUGGAUAAUUUACCAACAAUGCUCAAAUCCUUCCAUGCCAAAGAAAAUUUUCCCCUAAAAGUUAAACUCUUAAGGUUUUGUGGAAAAGCAUCCGGAGGAGGUAAGAGUAAAGUUGGAACAUCAGUUGGAGGUGCAGUUCCCCCGAAACGAGUCUGAAACCUCAGAGGAUCUUGCGGAGUAGAACCUGAAGGUGCAGUGUUUUUUAGAAAGCAAGCAAUAGGUGAAUAAUAAAUACCAAAUGUCAAUUUCUCGAGCUGAUAUAAGUAGCGAAAAUCAUACAGGUCCUUGUGAUUGCGAAAGUCCUCUGGGACGCCAAAUACUUUCAACUUCUUUAAAUUGGGAAAUAGUCUAAAAAAAGACCCUGUACAAUACCGAGGAUUCAAUUGAUUGAGGCAUUGCAAACUUUUCAAAACCAAUCUGUUCUCUGUAGGCUCAUGACUCUGCAAGUAAUUCCAGCCCAUAUGCAGCUUCCUCAAUUGUGGCAUCGUCAAAAUUUCCGAUGGUAAUAUGAAAGGAUAACUACUAUUGGGAAAUGGAAGGUAAAGUUUAAAAGUUUGCAGAUAGCAUAGGCUUGAUAUCGAUAGAGGAAUGUCUAUUAUUGAUGAGGGAACAGCUUCUUUCGAUCCUCGAUACUGCUUUAAGCAAGGCUUAAAACACAAAGAUAGGUAUCUCAAAUGAAAUAGAGAAAGUACUCCACUGGGAAAAAAUGGGCAUAUAGUCAAACCAAGAUCUAGUACUCUUACUAGCUUGAAAGACAAUGCCAGUGUGACGCAUUUGAAUCCACCCAACAUGAUAAUAGAAUGAGCCUCACUGCUACAACACCAAACCAAUUUUUUCUCAUUAUGGAUUCUGAUCCGAUUUCGACUCUUAAAGGAACACUGCAUGGAUUGUUCACAUGAAUUUUGAUAACUCUUUCCUCUGAUAACAUUCACAAAAUUCAUGUUUCGAGCUUCCCUCAAACAGAGUUCACGGGUCACAUCAUGCAUUCCACAACUUUCUAUUGUUCCACGAAAACUAAAAUUGUGGAUGAAAAUUAAGCUUCUAUCUAUAAGUUCAUUUAUACAUGUUGUUGCCACCUCUUCUAUGCUUUUUCCCUCUUCUUCAUUCAAAAACCCCUCUACGGCCCAUAAUUCAACAAGUUUAUUUACAUAAAUCUGUUCAUCCUCUGCGAAAAUUGCAAAAUACAGAAAACACGGUUUUAGGUGAGAAGGCAAGUGAUGGUAACUCAAAGCCAACACUCUCAUGCACUUUGCUUCAAGAUCUGUGCUUACCACUGAACUUACAUUCUCCGCAACAUAUUGCCACACACCCAAUGUUUUACUGAUUUUGGAGAGAAGUCCAGCAAUCACAGUAAUUGCUAGAGGUAACCCUCCACAUUUUAAUGCAAUUUGUUUCCCAAUAUUUUCAAAUUCAGGAGAAUAAGAACCUUCUUUUUCAAAGAUCUUUUUGUGUAGUAAAUUCCAACUUUCGUCAAAAUUCAUGAGGCGCAUGUGAUGAGGAGGCUUACCUGACCUAGCACAUUCAGCCACUUCCACAUUCCGAGUAGUCAGGAGUAUUCUGCUUCCAUUAUAACAGUCUGGGAAACAUAGUUUUAUAUCAUCCCAAGCUUCUGUAGUCCAUAUGUCAUCAAUGACUACCAAGUAUCUCCUGCCUUUCAGAUGCUUCUGCAAUCGGUCCGCUAGCUGAUCAUCAGGUUCAUCACUUAUCGAAGGAAGAAGGCCUAGGAUUACAUUUCUCACACAAUACUCUUGUGAAACAGUUGCUUUUGCACGAAUAUCAAAUCGAGACAUAAUGUAAGGAUCACUAUAGAGUUUUGUAGCCAAAGUUGUUUUCCCGAUACCUCCCAUCCCUACGAUUGAGACAACUUCUAGUUCCCUUCCUCCUCUAGCAAGUUGAUCCAGCAUCAUCUCAAAUUCAUUUUCACGGCCAACCAUUAUAUUCUCGGGCUGCUCAACAGCAUGUUCAGGUAAACUGACAAGUGAGCUAGUUUGUGGUUUUAGAUCUUUCAUGCUGUCCGAUGCUGCCAUCCACUGUUUCACGGUGGAAGCAAUGCAUUCUAGUGCUUGUUCCAAGACGAAAAAAAUCUCCCACAUAGCCCUGCUUCUUUCCUCCAAAUUCUGUGCUAAAAAAACAUUUCUUGAUUCCGAGUCAACCAUAUCUUCUGUUGUGUAUGCUACCUCUGCGAUUUCAACUUCCAAGAUUGUUAACCCCUCAUGAUCGCCCAUUAUAUUGCAGGAUUUCUCCAGAAUAGCUCUCAAAGAUUUGAGCUUUUCAUAAAACGGUUGCAAAUCACAUCCAGUAAGUUCCAUUGAUUGAUGUAUGGUUCUCAUAAGGGAAGUAACAGCAGCAUAAGCCAUAUAUCCAAAAAAUAGAAAUAUCUCUCAGUAUGAAAAUGGACAAAUUGCCACAAGUUAUGUAAUUUUUCAGUUUUUAAGAAAACAGAAAAUGCAAAGUUCUUUCUUUUACUAGCUAUUUCCAUCACAUUUCCAGCUAGGUCCACCAACCUUAUCAUCAUGUAGACAAAAGCAGAGACCAAAGUUAAAAAAAAAAGAAAAAAGGCAGGACUCUAACAGGAAAAAGUAGAAAAAAUUGUGACCAUUCAUUAUUAGACCCUACACUUAUCUAUUCAUGAAUAUAGGUAUGUUUCUUACAUACAAGAGAUUGAUGAUUUUAAUUCCAUUGAAAGCAACUUCGUAGAAUUUUCCAAAUCAAAGAGAGAGAAAUAUUAAGAUCCAAGUAGGAAUUUCUCUAUUCCUAGUUCGAUUCAAUUAACCAAGCAUAAAUAUCUCUUUAAAUAUAUAUGAGAAGUUUAGACUCUAAAAGUCAAAUCAACAAAAUAUUUAUGGGCUAACACAUGAAAAACUAUUGAGAAAAUUGCCUAAUUUCUGUAAAUUGGCCCUUAAAUCUCCAAAAUGGACUCUAAAAAUUGUCAGACUGUACGUAUUGCUCCCAACUCCCUACUAAGGGUUCUGUAAUUUCGAUUAGAAUUCGCCCGUAAGUCAUAUCACCAAUAUAUUAAUGACUAACACACACGAAAAACUAAGAAAAUUGUCUAAUUUCUUGAAAUUGGCCCCUAAAUGCCUAAAAUGGACUCUAAAAAAUUGUCAGACUGUACGUAUUGCUCCCAACUACCUACUAAGGGUUCUGUAAUUUCGAUUAGAAUUCGCCCGUAAGUCAUAUCACCAAAAAUAUUAAUGGGCUAACACACACAAAACACUGAGAAAGUCGCCUAUUCCUGUAAAUUGGCCCCUAAAUGCCCAAAAUGAACUCUAAAAUUGUGAGACUAUGUACUGCUCCACUAACUCCCUAUGGAGGGUUCCGUAAAGAUUUCACAAAGAAAUUAUUCGGAAGAUAUAUCACCAAAAUAUUUAUGGGCUAAUACAUUUUUAUUUGUCCAUUUGAUUUGAUAUAUCUUUCAAGUACUUUGAUCCGGUUAUACUUUUUUUUUAUUGCUAAAAAUAAAUAUCCACUUUUACUUGUUCAUUCUACAAAACAAAGACAAUAUUUUAUUGCUUGAUUCAGAUAUAAAAUUUGAGUAGGCUAAUUUACAAACCAUCUGUAGUCAUCCUGCCCCUAUGCUAUAACAUUUGAAAGAAAGAGGUCAUCAUCAUCAUAUUCAUCAUCGUUGUCAUCUUCAUCUUCAUCUUCAUCAUCAUCUUCAUCUUCAUCAUCAUCUUCAUCAUCAUCUUCAUCUUCUUCAUCAUUAUCAUCAUCAUCAUCAUGAUCGUCAUCGUCACUUGUUUCCUCACUGUUGAAAAAGCCAGCAACAAAAGAUGAAAAAUGAAAUGUUAUGCAAGUAUAACAAGUUACACAAUUACUAUAUUGGAAGGAUUUAAAUCAUAUACAAUGACAACGUAUGAACUUUUACACUAUAGGUGCCAUUUAACUGCUUAUUAAAGCAACUUAUAAUUAUUUUAUUACUAGUUCUGGACACAUGCUUUGCAUGUGUAUAUUACACGUUUAGUCACGAUUGUAAGAGGGUGUACACCAGGAUCAUUCGAAGAGCAAAGUCGUGUGAGCCUUACAGAUAUUCUUGACGUACUCCUAUUAAAAUCUGUAUCAUAAUAUCUGAUGAAAUCAGCUACUGAUCAGUCAAGCUCUCCAUUGAUGUAGACUUCAACUACACAUGAGAAAGAAUGAGAGAAGAAGAGAGAAGAGAAGAGAAGAAGAAUCUAGAAGAGCAACAUGAAAAUUAAUCUCUCAUUGAAUGUGAAUUAAAACUACAAGAAUUACAAUGUGACUAUAUAUAUAUAAUCACUGGCAGAAAUUAACUAACUAACAAACUUGAUUCUAACUAACUCUACUGUACAUAGAUUCUAACUAACUCUACUGUACAUAACCGACUCUACUGUACAUAACUAACUAAUUAUACUUUAUAUUCUCAUCACCCCCCCUCAAGUUGGAGGUGAUGUAAUUACAGACAACUUGUGCAAUAAGGCAGUAUGUUUAACUCCAGUCAGAGCCUUGGUGAAGAUGUCUGCCAACUGUGAAUCAGUGGGAAUAUGAUGGAGUGUGAUUAGGCCUUGUUGAAGCUUGGUCCUAACAAAGUGACAAUCGAUUUCUAUGUGCUUUGUCCUCUCAUGAAAAACUGGAUUCUUUGCAAUGUGGACUGCUGCUUGACUGUCACAAUGGACAGGGAUAGGUAAGGAGCAUUGUACAGUCAACUCAUCCAACAAUCGUUCAAGCCACACUAGUUCUCCUACAACUUGUCUCACAGCUCUAUAUUCAGCUUCAGCAGAUGACAAAGACACUGUUGCUUGCUUCUUAGACUUCCAGCUGACAGGACUAUCACCCAGAAGCACUAGGUAUCCACUAACAGACUUCCUGGAAUCAGGGCAAGCAGCCCAAUCAGAAUCACAAUAAGCACUGAUAGUGAGAUCAGGCUUGUUUGAGAUAAAAAUUCCCAAUGUUGGAUCCUGUUUCAAAUAUCUGAGCACAUGGUAUGCUGCUUUUAAAUGUGGUUCCCUAGGUGAUUGCAUAAAUUGGCUCAAGUGUUGUAUACUAUAAGCUAUGUCCAUUCUAGUGUUGGUCAAAAAAUUUAGCUUACCAACCAACUUCCUGUAUUGAGUAGGAUCAGAUAAAAGAUUGCCAUCUGUAGCUGUUAACUUCUCAGUGCAAUCAAGUGGUGAUGUAGUGGCCUUGUGACUUAACACAUCAAAAUCUUUCAGGAGAUCAGAAGUGAAUUUCCUUUGUGAAACUAGCACUCCAUCAUGUCUGUAUAAUAUUUCCAGUCCCAGAAAGUAGUGUAGUUUGCCCAAAUCCUUUAUCUUGAACUGAUCAUUUAAGAAGCUCUUUAAGGAGUUGAUUUCAGCCACAUCUGUUCCAGUUAGAAUUAUGUCAUCCACAUAUACAGCAACAAACACCAAGGAGCAGCCCUUCCUUUUGUAGAACAGUGAGUAAUCACUGUCUGAGUGCUGAUACCCUCUUGAACAUAGACAGUUUGCCAACUUCUCAUACCAUUGCCUGCUGGCCUGUUUUAGUCCAUACAAAGACUUCUUCAAUUUGCACACCAUGUUAUCACAACCUACUACAAGACCUUGUGGAGGUGCCAUGUACACUUCCUCAUGCAAAUCACCAUGUAAGAAUGCAUUAUUGACAUCUAGCUGAUACAAGCUCCAAUCUUUCUUAACAGCUAAAGAGAUUAAUGUUCUAACAGUAGUCAUUUUAACUACAGGUGAGAAGGUUUCAGUGUAAUCUACCCCAACUUGUUGUGUAUAACCUUUGACCACCAACCUACACCCCAGCUUGUUGUGUAUAACCUUUGACCACCAGCCUAGCCUUGAACCUCUCCACACUCCCAUCAGCUUUGUGCUUGAUUUUGUACACCCACUUGCACCCAAUAGCUUUCUUCCCAUCAGGUAACAUGACCAUCUCCCAAGUGUCAUUAGCAUACAAAGCUUCAAACUCCUGUGUCAUGGCCUGCUGCCAGGCAGGGUGCAAUAUUGCUUCCUCAAAUGAAAUAGGCUCACAUUCAUGUGAAAUGGUUGUUACUAACUGCUGACUAUCAGAACAAAGACUGGUGAAACAUACAUGUUUAUGGGGAGAUAUAAAGGAAGUGAGGGAGUGCAGCUUAGGUAUAGUGUAGGUGUAUUCUUUUAGGUAAUUAGGAGUGUGUAUGGUUCUGGUUGUUCUUCUAGGUGCUGAUAUUGUAGGUACUGGUAAAGUAUCAUGAUGCAUGGUGGCAUUUGGAUCAGGUAAGGUAGGUUGAGUUGUAGUAGGUUGAGUUGUAGGUUCAUGUAGGACAGCAGGUGGUACUUCAUUCAUGUUGGUAUUACUGGUUACUUGAUUAUUAGUGACUUCAUGUGGUGUGAAAUUUUCCAGUUGAUCAUCAUUAGCAAAAAUGUUCAUUUUACCAGACAUACAAGGCAUGCUAGUGGUAUGAGUAAGCAUUUGCAGAAUGGAAUUGAAACUAGAACCAUCAGGGGCAAUAACAAAAGGAAAAAUAUUUUCUUGAAAAAUAACAUCUCUUGAUAUAUGAACUUUCUUGGUAGCUAAAUUCAAAACUUUGUAACCUUUUGUAUUGAAAGGGUAACCAACAAAAACAUGAGGUGUGGUUCUAGGUUCAAAUUUAUCUUUGUGAGUUUUCAAGGUAGUGGGGAAACAAAGACAACCAAAACUCUUAAGGUGGGAAUAUGUAGGUGAUUUAUGGUACAACAUUUCAUAUGGAGAUUUAUUCUGUAAAAGUUGAGUGGGCAGUCUAUUAAUCAGGUAUGUGGCAGUCAAUACACAUUCCCCCCAGUACCUCAUAGGCAACUUUGACUGAAACAAAAGUGCCCUUGCUGUUUCAAGUAGGUACUUAUGUUUCCUUUCUACCACCCCAUUUUGUUGAGGUGUAUAAGGACAAGUUCUUUGGUGUAUGAUACCUUGUUUUGGAAGAAAUUUGUGGCUUCAGCUGAAGUAAACUCUAACCCAUUGUCAGAUCUUAUGGCUUUUUAACUUGGUUUGGAAUUGGUUUUCUAUGAGAGAUAUGAAGGCUUUGAUAGUUUGGAGAGCAUUACUCUUACAUCUCAGCAAUUGUGUCCAAGUGGACCUACUGUGGUCAUCUACCAUAGUGAGGAAAUAAUGAUAUCCAUCAUGAGUGGGAACAUGAUAUGGUCCCCAUAGGUCAACAUGUAACAACUCAAACACUUUAGUGGUGGUGGUGAUACUUUCUGGAAAAGGCAUCCUAGUUUGCCUAGCCAUAGGGCAUAUAUUGCAAGUAAAAGGCUGUUUAGGAGAAAAAUGAACAGGUAUAGUUGAGAUAUUUUUCAUUUUUACAAAAGGUACAUGUCCUAAUCUAGCAUGCCACAAAAGUUCAUCAUCAUGAGUGUGAUUAGAGACAUUUGUAAAUGAAGGACAAGCAUGAGUAAAACAAGAGGAAGGAAAAACAGUACAAUCUGCCUUAUUCAUAGGAGAGUAUUUUACAGAAGAACCAGUGGACACAUUAGAAUCUGAAACCCUGCUAGUAUUGCCUAAAGAAGAGACAAGAGGACAAUUAACAUGAGGUGCUUUACUCUCAGCAGAUGGACAACAAUUGUGGCAUUUGUGACACAAGAAGUACAGGCCAUUCUUGGCUUUACCAAGUUCCAGAGGGCUCUUCAGAGAAGGGCCCUGCAGCAAACAAGAAGAUUUGUCAAAGCUGACUACACCAUUGAAUUGUAGUGCUAAACAAUGAACAGAAAUGAGAUUAAACUUGAAGCUAGGUACAAACAACACUUUGCUUAGAGUCAAAGCUGGAUUUAAACAAGCAUCACCAAUUUCAGUCACUUUAACCUUGUAACCAUUAGGGAGUGAAAUUAGAAAGGGAUAUGGAAGUGAAAUGAUGUUUGUGAGGGUGGUCUUAUCAUAGGUCAUAUGGUGUGAUGCUCCUGAAUCUAUGAUCCAAGAGCCAGCAGUCAGUUUAACACAUUUACAAGAAAGAUCACCUAUAUCAGUAAUAGAGGAAUAACAUGCAAGUAUACCUGCCAAGUUCACAGCUCCAUUCAGCAUGUUGUUUGAGUUGUCUGAGGCUCCAUUUCCAACUUGUAAAGUUCCCAGGAGAUUGAGUAGUUGUUCAUAUUGAUCUUUGGACAAGUUCAAUGGCAUUUGUCUCCUUACUUCAGGUUCCUCUUCAGAUUGAACUCCAUUCAUAUCAGGGGCACACACAUUUGCUGCAGCUUUUCCCUUUUUGAACCUUGGAUUUGGAUUGGAUGGGUAUCCAUGAAGCUUGUAACAUCUAUCCUUUGUGUGUCCUGAUUUCUUACAGUAGUCACAAAACAAAGAAGACUUGCCAGUGCUAGAAUUGCCUCUAAACCCAGUAUUACCAGAAUUGGUUCCACCUCCUCCAGAUGAACUGUAGUUUGUCCGGAAUCCCCUGUAUCCUGCACUGCUGUUGGUCUGUCCAUAAGCAUUGAGAGAGGUAGAAUCCAAGGCUGUAUGAUUAUGAGGCUUCACCUCCCUUUGUUUUUCCUCUUGGGAUAAUAUGGCAAAAGCUUGAGCCAUGCUUGGAAGUGUGUUCAUCAUGAGAAUGCUGCCUCUGACAGUCGUAUAUAUCUCAUUCAAUCCCAUUAGAAAAUGUAUCAAUCUUCUGUCUUGUUCAGCCUUGUGUAAUUUGCUUUUACCCCCACAAAUGCACACACAAGUACACUGAGAAUUGACAUCAAUGGUACUCAUUUCCUCCCACAACUUCUUCAUUCUUGUGUAAUAUCCAGUGAUGUCUAAAGUGCCUUGGACCAGAUCAUUAAUUUCCUUCUGCAGUUGAUACAAUUUACACCCAUUGGUUUGAUCGUACCUUUCUUCUAGUUCUCCCCAAAGCUCCUGAGCAUUAUUGACAUACUGCAGACUAUCACGCAAAUCUGGUGACAAGGAAUUCAGGAUCCAAGAUGUGACCAUAUCAUCACACCUUUCCCAUUGCUGAAAGCUAGGAUCAGUAGGAUCAGGUCUCACAACCUUCCCAUUAAUGAAUCCUGUCUUGCUCUUAACAGAUAAAGCCCUGAGAACUGCUCUUCUCCAGGAUCUGUAACCAGUUCCAUCAAAAACUGCAGGUAAUAGGGAUGAACUUGCAUUCUCAGAUGGAUGCAAGUAGAAAGGACUAGGGAUUUCUACCCUAACAGUGGAUGCAGAAGCAUUUGGAAUGGAAUCAUUUGAAGAAUCGACCAUUGUGAAUUGAAAAUUGGGAAGAAGAUCAAGUCGAGAACAACCAGAUCAAACAGCGUUCACAAACAAAAUUGACAGAUCGAAGAUCCAGUCGAGAUCAACCAGAUCAAAGAAAAAAUUCACAUAAGAGAAAACGAAGCUCACAGAUUGAAUUGGAAACAAAAAAAAACAGGAGCAAUUCCCUGUGCUUUGAUACCAUGAUGAAAUCAGCUACUGAUCAGUCAAGCUCCUCCAUUGAUGUAGCUUCAACUCACAUGAGAAAAGAUGAGAGAAGAAGAGAGAAGAGAAGAGAAGAAGAAUCUAGAAGAGCAACAUGAAAAUUAUCUCUCAUUGAAUGUGAAUUAAAGAAGUGAGUAUUACAAUGUAUCUGUAUAUAUACACAAUCACUAAGCAACUAAUAAUCAUUGGCAGAAAUUAACUAACUAACAAACUUGAUUCUAACUAACUCUACUGUACAUAACCGACUCUACUGUACAUAACUAACUAAUUAUACUUUAUAUUCUCAUCAAUAUCCCUUUUUUCAAAUUUCAUAGCUGAACUACUAGGUGUGCGAGUUCCUACCAGAACUAUUACCAACUAUUUAUCAAAACACACAUCAACUAUAUAUGAGUUGUUCCCUUUUACUAGUGGUGAAAAAUAGGUGGAUUUGGACGGGACUGAAAAUGGAUUGAGCAACAUGGUCGUAACUCACUUUAAUCUCUUAAAGCCAGAAAACUUUAAAGAGUUAAUUGAAAUAAACUUAAUGACUAUCCUACUUGAAGUAUCACCAUCGUUCAGGUAAGAAAAAGGAAGUAAAUCAAGGAAGACGAUGUCUUACAAAGCCUGAUGGAUAUGGACCUCGAUAGAACCUCCAUAGUUGUCUUGAAUGUCCUGUUGAAUCUGCUUUGCGGAAUUCCCAACAGAUUCUGGGCAGUUUCUUAUAUCAAUUAGAGCAAGUGUGGUUAUAUCUGCAAAAUCUUGAGGGAUUGAGUCCAAAAACCUGCAACUAUCAAGAAAUAGUCGUUCAAGGCACGGAAAGUGAUCACAACUAGCUCUCCAGUACUGAAUAUGUGAUCUUUUAAGUAACAAGAACUUCAAAAAAGGAAACCCUUCCUCAGCUACUUCCCACUCCCUGCCUCUGCAUACACCCUGUGUUAGUUCAAGAAGUUCAAGUUUGGGCAAUUUUCCGACAACAAUGCUUAAAUCCUUCCAUGACAAGAAGAAAUUUCCUGUAAAAGUUAAAUUCUUAAGGUUUCGUGGAAAAGCAUCUGGAGGAGGUAAGAUCAAAGAUGGAACAACUUCUACAACAAGUGGAUUCCUUGUCUGAAAACACAUUCUCCUCUCCAAAAAGUAAGCAUUAUUUUGAGGAGGAAGACAAAAUGCUAGUUCCUCGAGAUGAUCUAAGUAGCGAAAAUCAUAGAGGUCUUUGUGACUAUGGAAGUCUUGUGGGAUGCCACGUACUUGCAACUCCUUUAAAUUGGGAAAUAGUCUAAAGAAAGAUGCAGUACAAUAGCUAGGAUUCCAUCCAAACAGAGAAUGUAAAUUUUUCAUAACCAAACUUUUCUCUGUAAGCUCAUGAUAUCGCAAGUAAUUCCGAUCCAAAUGAAGGUGCCUCAACUGUGGCAUAGUCAAAAUUUCUGAUGGUAAUAUCAAAGCAUGUUUACGAAGAUUAAUAACGAGUGGAAGGUAAAGUACCAAACUUUGCAGAUAGCAUAGGUUUGAUAUGGAUGUAGGAAUGUCUACUCUUGAUGAGAGAACAUCUUCUUCGGAUCCUAGAUAUUGCUCAACGUUAGGAUAAAUACGCAAAGCUAGGUGUCUUAAGUGAAUCAAAUAAAGUAUUUCACGGGGAAAAGUUAGACAGAUAUUAUCAGCAAGAUCUAGAACUCUUACUAGCUUGAACGGCAAGUACUCCCUCAUGCAACAUCGGAAUCUACCAAAUAAGAUAACAGAAUGAGCUUCACUGUUAAGGCACCUAACAUACUCUUUCUUAUUAUGGAUGCUGAUUCGACCUCGACUCUUAGACAAACACUGCAUAGAUUUCACACAUGGAUUUUGAUCAUUCUUACUUCCGAGAACAUUCACAAAAUUCAUGUUACGAGCUUCCAUCAUACAGAGUUCACGAGUCGUAUCAUGAAUUCCACAACACUUAAUUUUUCCAUCAAAAGUAGUACUUUCUAUGGAAAUUAAACUUCUAUCAAUAAGAUCUUGUAGGUACUUUUCUGCCACUUCUUCUAUGCUUUUCAUCUCUUCUACCUUCAAAAAUCCCUCUGUUUCCCACAAUAUCAUAAGUUUAUUGACAAAAAUCAGUUUAUCCUCUGGGAAGAUUGCGAAAUAUAAAAAGCAUGGUUUUAGGUGGUGAGGCAAGUAAUGGUAACUCAUUGCCAACACCCUCAUGCAUUGGACACCAACAUCUGUGCUUACUGCUGAACUUACAUUUUCAGCAACACUUUGCCACUCACUCAAUGCUUUGUCAAUUUUAGUGAGAAGUCCCGCGAUCACAACAAUUGCUAGAGGCAAUCCUCCGCAUUUCAAUGCAAUUUGCUUUCCAAGUUGUUCAUAUUCAGGGGAGAAAGAGUCUUUCGUAAAGACUUUUUCAUACAAUAAACUCCAACUUUCGUCAAAAUUCAUGAGGCGCAUGUGAUAAGGAGGCUUACCUGAGCUAGCAUAUUCAGCCACUUCCACAUUCCGAGUAGUCAAGAGUAUUCGGCUUCCAUUAUGAAAGUCUGGGAAACAUAUUUGUAUAUCAUCCCAAGCUUUUGUAGUCCAUAUGUCAUCAAUGACUACCAAAUAUCUCUCACCUUUUAGAAGCUUUUGUAGUCGAUCUGCUAGUUGCCCGUCAUGUAGCUGAUCAUAAGGUUUAUCACUUAUACAAGAAAGAAGGUCUAGGAAAACAUUUCUCACACAAUACUCUUGUGAAACAGUAGCUUUAGCACGAAUGUCAAAACGAUACAUCAUGCAUGGAUCGUUGUAGAGUUUCGUAGCCAAAGUUGUCUUGCCAAUGCCUCCCAUACCUACAAUUGAUACAACUGCUAGUUCUCUUUCUCCUCUAGCAAGUUGAUCCAGCAUCAUCUUGAAUUCAUUUUCAUAGCCAACCAUUAUAUCCUCGGACCGCUCAACAGCACGUUCAGGUAUCUUGGAUAGACAAAAAUUUUGUGCUUUGAAAUCUUUAAAGUUGUUGUACCAGUCCCAUAUUGCCAACCACUGCAUCAUGAAGGAAUCAAUGCAUUCUACCUCUUGUUCCAAGGAACAACAGAGUUCCCAGAAAGCUUUGCUUCGUGUAAUUACAGUUUCUGCGGAAGAAACUUUUCUUGAUUUCGAAUCAACCAUGUCUUCUGCUUUGUAUGCUACCUCCGCGAUUUCAACUUCCAAGGUUGUUAACCCCUCAUGAUCUCCCGUUAUAUUGCAGGAUUUCUCCAUAAUAGCUCUCAAAGAUUCAAGCUUUUCAUAGAAUGGUUGCAAAUCACAUCCAGUAAGUUCCAUUGACUGGUGUAUGGUUCUCAUAAGGGAAGUAACAGCAGCAUAAGCCAUAUAUCCAAAAAAUAGGAAUCUCUCACACUCAGUAUGAAAAUGGACAAAUUAAUUGCCACAAGUUAUGUAAUCUUUCUUUUACUAACUAUUUCCAUCACAUUUCUAGCUAGGUCCACUAACAGGUAAAGUAGAAAGAUGUGAGGUCCCUAACCUUAUCAUCAUGUAGACAAAAGAAGAGACCAAAGUUUUUAAAAAAAAGACAGGAAAAAGUAGAAAAAUUUGUGAUCAUUCAUUAUUAGACCCUACACUAAUCUCUUUAGAAAAAUAAACUAAAAUUUUAGUUUAAAUAAAGGAGUUCAAGCUGUAUAUUGAUAACGCCCAAUUCAAAUUCAAGUGUAGUACGGUCUAGCAAUAAUAAACUCAACAAAUGUUGGGGUCGAGGAGUAUGCUUGUGUCAAGGUGACAGAGAAUGCGAAUUUGCGAAUUUCCUAAGCUUAUCUACAAAUAAAAGGUCUUUCUUUUAGCUAGGUCCAUAAUCCAUGUAGUGCUCUCUACUCUCUAGUCUCUAUCAACCAACUCAAGUUUAAGGGUGUGUUUGGUAUGGAGGAAACAUUUUCUCUAGAAUAGGGAGAGUUUUGUGCAUAAACAAAGAAGAAUAUCUCAGUAUAACAGUGAAUGUGUAUUUUUUUUAUGAUUUGCUUCAUUUGAGUAUGACUUUUGUAAGAAAAUUCUGGUAAAAGUUUAAAAAAUGAUCUUGUGGAAUAAGCACAGUGAAUUCCUUAAUAUUCGAGUAGAAAAAGCCAGGGAGGAUAACAUUGCUAUUUGUACACUUAUCGUGACACGAGUAGUCUCUUAAAUAUUACACCUUUCUACUGGUGUUGCUGGUGCCACUGAAUUUAGCCUUCCGUCUUCCUUUGCGAGGUAGAUUGAGGACUCCCAAGAAAGGAAACACAAGGUACUGGAGUCUGUUCCGGCCUCUACAGUAUGUAUGUACAUAAAAUUUGGAGUAACUAAAAAACCACUGACAAAUGGCUAUACGAAAGAUCAUAUACAAUUUAAUUACAAGCCAUUUGCAAUCAUCCUGCCCCUUUAUGCAGAAUCUUUUCAAAGAAAAUGAAAACAAACACUCACACAUUUGGCUUCUGAUUGACAUUUAUUUCAGAGAACUGGCUAGUCCUCAGAACACCUUAACUACUCGCUGCAGAAAAAAAAAGACGCAAAAAAUGGAAAAUAAUAUGUUAGAUGUCCCAUAAUUAAGGAACAGGAGAACAUUAUAGCAAGAAUGAGCAUGCAGGUAUAAGAACUUACACAUUAUUGCGGCAAGAAGCAACUUCUUUCUCAAAGUCAAUAUCAUCAUCUUCAUCUAUUGUUACACUACAUCGAAAAUGCUUGCUACAAAAGAUGAAAAAUGAAAUGUUACACUUCCCAAAAUCAAGAAUGAGCAUGCAAGUAUAACAACUUACACAAUAUUGGAAGGAUUCGAAUCAAUCACAAUGACAGCAUCAAGAACUUUUGUUGAAUUGGUGUAAUUUGACUUACUAAAGCUAUUAUCCAGAUUAUUAUCGAGUUUACUAUAAUGAUGAGUUAAAUAUUGUUGUAAAUCAAGGAAGAAGAUGUACUUACUAAAGAUUACGAGUAUGGACCUCGAUAGAGCUUCCAUAGUUGUCUUGAAUGUCCUGUUGAAUUUGCUUGGCGGAAUUCCCAACAGAUUGUUGACAGUAACUUAUAUCAAUAAGAGCUAGUGUGGUUAUAUCUGCAAAAUCUCGAGGGAUUGAAUCCAAAUAAUAGCAACUUCUAAGAAAAAGUCGUUCAAGGUACGGAAAGUGAUCACUACUAGCUCUCCAGUACCGAAUGCAUACUUCAUGCAGAAACAAGAACUUCAAGUGAGGAAACCCUUCCUCAACUACUUCCCACUCCUCGCCUAUGAAGGAUUUCCAUGAUAGUUUAAGGACCUCGAGUUUGGGUAAUUUACCAACAAUGCUCAAAUCCUUCCAUGCCAAAAAGAAUUCUCCGCUAAAAGUUAAACUCUUAAGGUUUUGUGGAAAAGCAUCCGGAGGAGGUAAGCGUAAAGUUGAAACAUCAGUUGGAGGUGCAGUUGCCCUGAAAGGUAAGAGUAAACUUGUAUAAAGUUGAACAACUAGCCACAUGAGUCCUACAUGACACAAUACACAUAAGACACCAACUAUUUCCAUCACAUUUCCAGCUAGGUCCACUAACAGGAUAAAGUAGAAAGAUGUGAGGUCACUAACCUUAUCAUCAUGUAGACAAAAGAAGAGACCAAAGUUAAAAAAAAAAAAGACAGGAAAAAGUAGAAAAAUUUGUGAUCAUACAUUAUUAGACCCUACACUAAUCUCUUUAGAAAAAUAAGUUUCAAUAAAGGAGUUCAAGCUGUAUAUUGAUAACGUCCAAUUCAAAUUCAAGUGUAGUACGGUCUAGCAAUAAUAAACUCAACAAAAGUUGGGGUCGAGGAGUACACUUGUGUCAAGGUGACAGAGAGUGUUCUGGCCUAUACAGUAUGUAUGUAUGUACAUAAAAUUUGGAGUAUCUAAAGAACCACUGACAAAUGGCUAUACGAAAGAUCAUAUACAAUUAAAUUACAAGCCAUUUGCAAUCAUCCUGCCACCUUAUGCAGAAAAAAUGAAAAUUCUGAUUUGACAUUUAUUUCAGAGAACUGGCUAGUCCUCAGAACACCUUAACUACUCGCUGCAGAGAAAAAAAAAAGACACAAAAAAUGGAAAAUAAUAUGUUAGAUGUCCCAUAAUUAAGGAACAAGAGAACAUUAUAGCAAGAAUGAGCAUGCAGGUAUAAGAACUUACACAUUAUUGCGGCAAGAAGCAACUUCUUUCUCAAAGUCAUCUUCAUCUGUUGUUAUAUCGAAAAUGCUUUCUACAAAAGAUGAAAAAUGAAAUGUUACACUUCCCAAAAUCAAGAAUGAACAUGCAAGUAUAACAAGUUACACAAUAUUGGAAGGAUUCAAAUCAAACACAAUGACAGCAUCAAGAACUUUUGUUGAAUUGGUGCAAUUGGACUUACUAAAGCUAUUAUCCAGAUUAUUAUCGAGUUUACUAUGAUGAUGAGUUAAAUAUUGUUGUAAAUCAAGGAAGAAGAUGUCUUACAAAAGAUGACGAGUAUGGACCUCGAUAGAGCUUCCAUAGUUGUCUUGAAUGUCCUGUUGAAUUUGCUUGGCGGAUUUCCCAACAGAUUGUCGACAGCUACUUAUAUCAAUAAGAGCUAGUGUGGUUAUAUCUGCAAAAUCUGGAGGGAUUGAAUCCAAAUCAUAGCAAUUUCUAAGAAAAAGUCGUUCAAGGUACGGAAAGUGAUCACUACUAGCUCUCCAGUACCGAAUGUAUAUGUUAUCCAGAAACAAGAACUUCAAGUGAGGAAACCCUUCCUCAACUACUUCCCACUCCUCGCCUAUGACGGCAUUGUCUGAUAGUUUAAGGACCUCGAGUUCGGGUAAUUUACCAACAAUGCUCAAAUCCUUCGAUGCCAAAAAGAAUUCUCCGCUAAAAGUUAAACUCUUAAGGUUUUGUGGAAAAGCAUCCGGAGGAGGUAAGAGUAAAGUUGGAACAUCAGCUGGAGGUGCAGCUUUCCCGAAUUGUGUCUUUUUGUACAAUAAUUUCGUCUGAAACCUCAGAGGAUCUUGCGGAGUAGAACCUGAAGGUGCAGUGCUUUCUAGAACGCAAGCAGCACCUGGAUAAUAAACACGAAAUGCCAAUUUCUCGAGCUGAUAUAAGUAGCGAAAAUCAUACAGGUCCUUGUGAUUGCGAAAGUCCUCUUGGACGCCAAAUACUUUCAACUUCUUUAAAUUGGGAAAUAGUCUAAAAAAAGACCCUGUACAAUUCCGAGGAUUCAAUUGAUUGAGACAUUGCAAACUUUUCAAAACCAAUCUGUUCUCUGUAGGCUCAUGACUCCGCAAGUAAUUCCAGCCCAUACGCAGCUUCCUCAAUUGUGGCAUCGUCAAAAUUUCCGAUGGUAAUAUGAAAGGAUAACUAUCGGUAAAUGGAAGGUAAAGUUUAAAAGUUUGCAGAUAGCAUAGGCAUGAUAUCGAUAGAGGAAUGUCUAUUAUUGAUGAGGGAACAGCUUCUAUCGAUCCUCGAUACUGCAGUAAGCAAGGAUUAAAACACAAAGAUAGGUAUCUCAAAUGAAUUAGAGAAAGUACUCCACUGGGAAAAAUUGGGCAUGGAGUCCAACCAAGAUCUAGUACUCUUACUAGCUUGAAAGACAAUUCCAGUGUGAUGCAAUUGAAUCCACGCAACAUGAUAAUAGAAUGAGCCUCACUGUUACGACACCAAGCCAAUUCUUCCUCCUUAUAGAUACUGAUCCGACUUCGCUUCUUAAAGGAACACUGCAUGGAUUGUGCACAUGAAUUUUGAUCACUCUUUCCUCUGAUAACAUUCACAAAAUUCAUGUUUCGAGCUUCCCUCAAACAGAGUUCACGGGUCACAUCAUGCAUUCCACAGCUCUGUAUUUCCCCAUCAAAACUCAAUUUGUGGAUAGAAAUUAGACUUCUAUCUACAAGUUCGUUUAUACAUGUUUCUGCCACCUCUUCUAUGCUUUUUCCCUCUUCUUCAUUCAAAAACCCCUCUACGGCCAAUAACUCAACAAGUUUAUUUACAAAAAUCCGUUCAUCCUCUGCGAAAAUUGCAAAAUACAGAAAACACGGUUUUAGGUGAGAAGGCAAGUGAUGGUAACUCAAAGCCAACACUCUCAUGCAUUGUGCUUCAGGAUCUGUGCUUACCACCGAACUUACAUUCUCCGCAAUUCUUUGCCACUCAUCUAAUCUUUGACCGAUUUUGGAGAGAAGUCCAGCAGUCACAGUAAUUGCUAGAGGUAAUCCUCCACAUUUUAAUGCAAUUUGUUUCCCAAUAUUUUCAAAUUCAGGAGAAUAAGAACCUUCUUUUUCAAAGAUCUUUUUGUGUAGUAAAUUCCAACUUUCGUCAAAAUUCAUGAGGCGCAUGUGAUGAGGAGGCUUACCUGAACUAGCAUAUUCAGCCACUUCCACAUUCCGAGUAGUCAGGAGUAUUUUGCUUCCAUUAAUACA